AAUGAAAAAAGACGUUAGAAACAGAAUAAGAAAGAAAAUUAACAACCAGUAAAGGAAAAAAGGCGUUAGAAAAAAAUUAAGGGGAAAUCGGAGAGAACAAAGGGAUCAACUGAAAGACAUGUAUUUUUUCAAUAUUUCCGUAAGAGAACAAAAUUUUCGAAAUUAAAAACAUUUAAGUCUCCUGUUUGGCUUCCGGGAAAAUGCAAGAUGAACAGAAUUUGCCAACUCACAGGUGAAUCAGGAAUUAUUUAAAAAGAACAAGGACUAAUGUCAAGUUUGAUACAAAUUUCCCUCGAUUUUCCUCGAUCAGAUAAACCAAACAGAAUAAAAAGAGACGAAGAAAAAACAAGAUUUUUCUAAAGAAUCAAAUUUAUAUCUUAAAAGAAAGACUAGCACUACCUCAACUCACUCAUUCGGAAGAAGCUACCGCUGAUUCAUGAACUCAAACCUUUUCUUUUCCUGUUUCGAGAGAGAGAAAGAAGCUAAUGACAAUGGAUCUUGAUUUAACAGAGUUUAUAAUAUAACAAUAUUAUAAUAUUUUUAUUUUAUUUUCAUCGGUAAAAUAAAAUAUUUAGAGGGGUAGAGUAAUUGGUUUCGUAAAUUUUAGGGGAAGGAACGGGCCUACUGGACGUACAUAAAACUAAUCAAAAGAGUAGCUAAUAAAGGAGAAAGGAACGUUAGAAAUAAAGGAAAAGUAGGAGAGAAUAUGGGAAUAAGCUGGUCAUUUCGCCACACGCCGAGUACAAUUUCAGAAUUAGUGUACUUUUCAUUUUAUUCAAUUCAGUCCCAACCUGCUUCAAAUACAUAUCUCGUGUCAACUUUUACAAGAUGAUUUGUGAGGUAUGUACAUGGUAAAGGGUGUGUCAAAUAAGGGAGUAUCCUUACCAAAAAUAAAUUAAUCUUGGAUACAUAAUGGGUUUCAUUUUAGACCAUAAAAAUUUAUUACUGACCAAUCAAAUAAGCUUUCAUCUUUCCAUCGAGAUUAGUGUAUUUCAAACGAAUUAUUUUUUCCAAAAUAUGUUGAGACCUAUAAAUUGAAAACAAGGUGAUUUAAUUCCUGAUCACACACCCAUAAAUUUUCAUUUAGAAGGAUUGACCAUCUCAGAAAUAUGCAAAAGGAAAUGAAGACAUAAAGAAAGAAAUGCAGUUCCCUUUUCAUGAAUGUCAAGACAAUAAGAGAACAGUGAAGGAUAUAACAAACCUGGUUGGCGUAACUGAUACCCAUGUUUGCCCAAGCACGCACAUAGUUUGGCUUCAAAUCUAGUGCCUAAAGAUCCAGACAUAGACCAAAAGACUAAAUUCAAUAGUACUGAAAAUAUGGCCACCACAAGCAAAGGGAAGUUUAUCAUCAAAUAAUUUUAAAUGGACAAUCUUAGUAACAGAGGCUAAACAAAUCAAACUGCAUAUGCAAGAUCUGAAUGCAUUAAAAAAAGGAAUUUGAGAGAUAUGAUCAAGGGUAUAUGUAAAUUGAGGAAGUGCGUAAUCAAAUCAUCUAAAUUAACCAAUAACUCUAACAAAUCAAAUAACUAAUUACAUGGAGCUUAAUAGAAGAGCUAGUUUGUCUUCUAAGGUCCAACUAGGUGCAACAUGUUAUUUGAAGAAUCUUUUUAGCAGCCUAAGGUUACAAAGAUGGAGCAAGUAAAUAAUUCAACCCUAUAGGAGAGCUGUAUAACACACCAAUGCAUCACUUUACCAUUGAAAGAUAAGAAAGAAGAGAAAUAGAGGAAAAUAUGAUGCAACCCAUAUGAGUUUGGCACACAGAAGAUUGACAUGUUGGGUUAUCACAUGUUUUGCAUUUCUUUAUGCCAUCCUUUCAAUUGAUUAAGCACAAGCCAAGUCCUAGGCACACUUUUUUGUAUAGAAGCAAAAAAGCCCCCUUGAUUCAAGAAGCAAAAAUUUACAUAUUCACCUUAAUUUACUCAAAAAAGUGCCUUUUUUACAUCUUGCACCUCAAAUGGUUCAGGUAGUUAUAGCACCCUUGCCGACAUUGUCAACACCUUCAUAGUUCAUUUUUUUUAUUCUGGCCUAACAUGCAAAAUAGUGAGAAACACACCAUACAAAUUGUGAUCCUUAGUAAAAUCCUAGUACUCAUAUAUUUUGAAUUUCACACAUUACAUUUAUUCCAACUUAGUAAAGAGAACCCCAAAAUUUUAGGAUAGGGAAAAAAAAAUUUUAAUUAUAAAAAAGGUAAUUAUGAAAUCAACAUAUCAGGUGGUAUACAGAUAGGCCACCACUAUUCAAGGGGGAAUCAUGAAGAGGCAACCUGUUGAUAAGCUAAUAUUGCAUCAGCACUCUGCACACUGUUGGCUUGUGUUGCACCAAGCUUGUUCCAAAGAGAAUAAUCAUUAGGUUUAAGUUUCAAAGCAGUUUUGAAAGAUGCAAUGGCCUUAUCAUUUUCACUCAACAAAUUAUACAGAACACCAAGGACUAUGUGUACAUCAACAUCCUCAGGAGACAUCUGAGCAGAUUCAUUGUAUAAUCUAGCAACCUGUAUGGCAGAAAACACUUCGAUUAACACCAGAAUAUAACAAUAACAUUUCCAAAAUGUAAUGUUAGGGAUAAGCAUCUAGUAAUUCACCGUAUGUAAAACUCUAAGUCCAAAAUAUAAUCACUGCAGUCAUGGAAAUCAUAUGCAAAAAGACACUCUUGUAAUCACAGCAUUCACAACAUAAGCAAACUAUCCCACAGUAACAUUAGAGGAAGCGGCUUACACUCAAACCAAUAAAUCCUAAAACCCUAAAGACAAAGGUGAACUAAAGAUUCAUAACUGAAAUGACUCUACGAUGAAGAAGAGGAUUUCAUAUAUUUUACAGAUCAAAUAAGCAAAAUAAAAAUCUGCAGUUCAUGCUUUGAAGGAAAUAAGUAUCAUAGUGCAUGGUUAUUCAAUUUAUUUUAGAGCUCCAAAUAAUAAUAAAAAAAAAAUACCCAGCAACAGAACAUAUCAAAAAACAAACUAAUGCAAACUACUACAAAAACAAUAAUUAUUAUUAAGGAACAAAAGGGGCAAACCUGGAAGUGGGAAGGGAAAGAAAGUUGUGAUAAGGGUUAAUAGCGAGAUUUCAAAAAGAAUGUUGGCAGAUGGCACAUCAUGCUAUCAUUCUUCAGAGUGAUACCAAAAAGAAGAAAAAAAGGGUACCUAGGUAGCAUAAGAUAAUGGUAUGAUCGUCACUGCAAUGGCUCUAGACAAUGAAACCCAGAUAACUAAGACUGCUAGGAGAUAAACAGUAAUUUAAUAUCUUCCUUAACAACUGAACCUUGGCCUGGUGAAGAAGGGAUUCAUCAAAAAUAUGCCAAUGGAAGCAUAAAAUAUAAGACUUGAACACAGGUGCCAACAACAUAAUAAAACAAAAUGCAGUCACGGAUGACUCUGAGCAGCAAGGGAAAAAAGAAAUCAACGAAUAAAUUCCAUGCUACCUCCAGACAAGUUCUACUAAGAAAGGAAACUGAAAUGAAAACCUAACUGCACUCAAGCAUUAUGGGACUUUGUUCCUUGACCUCCAUAAGAUGUCUCAAGCACGAAUCUAACGGUUUAUUGCACAUAUAAUACGCCGCAUAUUUUGCAAGUCAUGCUAUAUACUUCUUGAUUCAUUACAGACAACUUAUACAUCAGAACAUUUCAAGAUAAGAAACCACAAAGUACAGUUCCUCACCAAUAUCCUCCAAGGUCGAAGGUUCUGUCUCUGUACUCCUACUCUUUAUCUCCAUUGGAUUUACCUUCAGUCCCAUCAACCUUCUUAUAAUCGUUUGGUCUAAGAUCAGGACCAAUAUCCCUUACCCAACUUGCAGCAUAAAGACUAGAGGCCUCCUUCAAGACCUAAAGAAGGAUGACAGGUUUUUACUACUUAUAUACUAAAAAUAAAUGCCUCUUAUUCCCUAAUGCAUAGGCAAAUAAUAGGUUCUUGAGCAUUAUUUGGCAUUCAAGUGGUUAAGUUAACCAUUAAGUAAGCAGAACAGUACAUAAAAGUCAUUUGAUCAUUUCAAUAUCCCAAUGAUCUAAUUUCCACCCAGAUCACCAGCUAGCAUCUGUUCCAUUAUCCUUCUUUAAAAUUUGUUAAAUUGAACAAAAGCAAAAAAUAUAUAUAUUAUAAAAAGGAAGUGGCAAAAUCAUCAUAUUUGAGUAGAAAUUGCUAAUAGUUCAAAUGUAAAGUACUUCCAAACAUUCGUUCUUGAUUUAAAGUAAAAAACCAUGCAUUUUUUUCCUUCCAAAAAAGGUUUCAGAAUUCUAAAAUGUUGUUUCGCUUACGGUAAUAGCAACGACACAGAAAAAAAAAAAAAAAGGUUAAUUUACAAACCAAGCUCACUAUUUUACUAUGAUGGAGAAAUGAAAGAGCCAUGCUGUUUAAACUGGCAGUAAUAUCUAAACUACAAUCCAGUACUAAUAUAGCUUCUCCAUCACAUAAACCAUCAAAAAAAUACAAUUAAGGAAGGGGGGAAACCCAGAAAUCAAUAAGCAAACGAAACUCUUACUGCAGAAGAGAAAUUGGAUAAGAAAAGUACCAACAAGCGCUCGUGCCAAGUCAAUUUGCGGCGCUUUUUGAUGUGGGGCGGAUCAGGAAAUGAAGAAGGGAAAGCUAUUUCUUUGAGAUCGUAUUGAACGUAGUCAUACAGCUUCCUGCACACAACUUUUACCUUCAUUUUAGGUUGAUAUAAGAGAUACCCAACUUGAUUAAGCUAAUGAAUUAUCUUUGUAUUCCACUGUCUAAAUAUUUAGGGGAAGCAGGCUAUUAACAGGGUUCAGCGGUACUGAGGCCCGAGAGCUUUAGAUAAUCUUUUUUUAACCUAUUCAAGGUUUUCAGGAGCUAGCUCAUAUUUGGAAAGGUAAGCUGAUUAAAUUGUUUUAAAACAAUUGCUUCAAAAUUAAAUUGUUUUGUCAAAAAUAUUUUACUAAUUGUUGUAAAAUUAAAUUUGAUCCAAAGAAAAUUUACUUUAAUUUUGACAAUUUAGAAAACAACAAUCAAAUAAAACAACACACAUCAAUGUUAUUCCAAACAAAACCAUGAGAUUGUAGAGAUACCUUGGGUUGAUAUGAAUGGCCGACAUCCUCAAAAGAGAAACCUUCGUUUUCUACAUAAUUAACAAUACCAAAGCAAAAGAUGAGUAAUUUGGAUUUUUUGAAAAAUAAACCAAUAAUACGAUUCAAAUAUGAAACUUUGAAAGAAAACUCUUGUCGUAAGAUCAAAAAAGGCAAAUAUACUGUGUUCUUCACAAGAAAGAAAACAACAAGUGGUUAACAUCUUCUAAUGCAACACAAUAACCACUCGUAACUACUUUGUAAUACAAAACAACCUUUUCAGUUAAAUUGCAUCCCUAAUUCCAGCCAUGCCAUGCAUUUAGAUAUAACCUGAAUAUUUCAAUCAAAAUCCAUUUCUAAAUCAUAUAAGUACCAGCACACAAACAAUUCCAACUAAGUUCAUCGAUGAGCUCCACUCAAACUCUUUUAAAGAAAAUCUACCCCAAUCCUUACUGAUGAGUGAAAGCACCUAGCAGUGUGAAAAGAAAACCAAAUAUGCAUUGAUCCAUGGACGGACUAAUAUGCACCACCUUAGCACCAGAUAAAAUGCAAGACUUUUCACUCGAAAUAUGACCAUGUUCUUCUAGUUAAAAUUGAUGUUAAUUGAGCCCAAAGUCUCUUACUUUCGAUUCUAUUAGAAAACACACAACAAUGCCAUACAAACUGCAUUUUUCCUUGAAAAAAGAAAAUCAAACAGCAAUUGUAUAAGGAAAGUGGCCUUAAAUAUAUUUUAACUGUAGAUUAAAUGAAAACAGCCAAGUGUUGAAGUAAUUGGAAACAGCUAUUCCCUGUCCUUAAAAAUAUAAAAACUAUAGAUUAAAGGAUAUCAACCUCAUUUAACACUCAAGAUUAAACUUACCAGUAAACAGAGAGUAGGCUUCCCCUAAAAUACCUAUAUCUUGACAGUUCGGAAAAUUAGAGCAUAACUUUUUCACAUUGUCCUAAUCAAAUUUCCACACCAACCAUUAAUGAUUCGGGAAAUUUUGAAUUAAACCCAAAACACCACAAGAAGAUUGUUCAAAGAAUCAAAUUCAUGCAAACUAAUACGAUAUAAGCCGAAGUCAUUAACCAAUGGCUGCUUAAAUAGAACUCUGUUACUUGAAUCACUUACCACAAAAACAAAGCAACAUCUUCCAAAAGCUGCUUAAAAUAUGAAUUACACAAAAUCCGAAGCCACUUUUUUUCAGAUAAGAUGCUAUCCUGGAAGACAUGAGAUUCUUCAAACAGCUUCGAAUCAUUAAUAAGCUAUAUGAGAGAGCAUCAGAACCAUAUUAAACACGAGAAGCAAAAGGUCUUCCUAGAAUCAUGUAUACUCUAGGUUUGACUGCAUCACAACGAAGAUUAACUAAAAGCCGCCAAGAACUGUAUAGCAGGACAAUGCAUCAAAACUGAGUGGGCAAGGUAAAUAGAAAACUCUUUACCUUUUCGAGGCAAUGAAGCAGGAGUAUCCCUGGAGUCUGAUGCAUUAUCAAGAACAUAAGGAAGAUCUAGCAAUUCCCAGAAAGAUACAGUCUGAGGAUUAUGGGGGGAACCUACACAAGGUGAGAAAAUUUUAAUAAUUAAAAAGGAAAUUGACCAAAAAAAAAUUGCAAAAGUCAUGAAUAUUCUAGUUGCAAUUCUAAAUAAAUAAGAAUGCAUUUGCUAACCAACAAUUAAUUGAGCUAAACAAAGAUAAAAAAUGAUGGAUAGUGAUUUGGAAUGACUGUGACAGUAAUAUCGAGAUGCCUAAUCAUGACAGUGAUAAGUGGCAUAAAUAUGCAAACAUACAUGGUGAGUUUCUUAAAUAAAAAAGAUAAAACCAUUAAUUGAGAUACUUUGAGCACCUCAAAGAAGGAAAAGCAUCAAAAUAUCACCAUAUUAUUUACCAGAAAAAAGUAGUGUUUGAAACUGAAUGAGAGGGGUUGUGAGGUGGAGCUGUUUGAGAAAAUUCACAAGGUUUGGCUCCUCUGUCUUCUAUCCUGCUCUUAACCAAUUGACGACAAUCUUGCAUGUCGAGCUGUGUUCUCCUACAUAUUAGAACAGCAGUUGUCAGCUCACUAGUUCUUGUAGAGUAAUAGUACUUGCAAAAAUAGAAAAUUGCACAUUUUCAAAUAAAUAUUAGUCCACCCCACCCAAAAAAGAAAGGAGGAGCGAGAUGAGUGUCAUGGUCAAAACAACAUGGUCAAAACAAAAAUGUCAUAUAUACACACACCCAAAGUCUCCACAUCGAAAGGUCAAAGGAAAGACAGAAUUUUCAUGUUAUUGCCAGCCAUUCUUCAUCAUAUUGAACCUCAUAAGGUCCUGGAUCAGAUUCAAUAUCAACAAUCUAAAAGAUCAGAGAAAGAAUUCAUUUAUUAGCUUCCAGCAAAGACCAAAAGAAAGAACCUAAAUGAAAUGGUCAAAACUUAUAAUACAUACCUGCAAGAACUUGAGCCCUGGAAGGCAUUUAUCGAGUGCAAGAAAUUUUGUCACUUGACCACCCUCUUCAUGUUCAACAAGAGCGGUGAAUUUACAGUGCAAGUGAGCUGAAAACCAAUAUGAUGGUUUGAGUUUUUCGAGCAGCUGAGCAGCAGGCUUGCUUCCAAUAGUUCCUUGCUGGAUCUAGGAAAUAUGUUUCAACCAACAAGCAACCAGAAAUGGUCAACAAGAGUUCCUUUUCUUCAUAUGUUCUAGCUUGGGAUUUUGAUAGUUGCUUGACCAUUUCAGCUUUGAAAAUGGGGUGACUUACAAUUCCCAUAAAUAAUUGUAAAUCAAAAUCCCCAAGCUAGAACAUAUGAAGAAAAGUGGGUGACUUACAAUUCCCAUAAAUAAUUGGAAGCUUCAUGAUUUCCACCAAUAAAAAUGGUGGGAACUGGGGCAACCUCCUCACCUGAAUAGUAUUUCCAGAAUGACUUCAUCUCCCUAUAUUUUGGAGGCGCAUUGAGGCUAUCCAUAUCUCUUUCAUUCCUGACUGCCUAAGUUGCAAAAGGAAAAAAAAAUUAAGUUCAUAUAAAAAAUGAGUACUUGGAAAGUGACAAAUUUUCAUAUAAAAACAGCAAAUUGAAGGGAGAAAGUGAGGGUGCAAGAGAAAGAACCUCGAAAUCACCGCAACAAAGGAGGAGGUCGAUUUCGAUGUUGCGAGUAUUUUCGAUGUAUUUAAUGGUCUUGUAGACCUUGUCGAGAUCUCCAUGCAUGAACCCUUCCACUGCUAUUUUCAUCCUUUUGAAUUGGACACAAUAUUGUGGCAGGGUUUGAGAAAAACGCUGAAAAUCAAAAUCUCUGACAAAAGUACACAGGAAAGAAACAAAAAGAAUAAACGAGUGAAAUAUUAGAAAUAUUAGGCUAUCUGGACAGAAAUAUUAGAAAGAAAGCCAGCCGAAAAAGUUUAAAGCAUUAUCUUAAGUGAGAUAAAAGGGAGAGGAAAGAAGAGACUUUACUUUGGUCAGACCAAAGACUGCAAACCUGAACCAACAACACCCCAAACCCACACAGCUAAACACACCACACUCCAAACCAGAGAUGAAAAAAGAAAAAAGCAAAAAGACAAAUGUUGAAGCAGAUUCAUACCUGAAAUCAGUCUCCCAUGAAGCAGGGGUUACAAAAAUCGGAACAAAGAAACGGCAGAGAAAUGAACCCACUGAAAUAGAAGUAAAAAAAUCAUUGAUCGGAAAACAAAAUAGAAAUCAAAAGGCAAAGACAGACAAAGACAAAGUUCAGGAUUCAUACCCCAAAAUAAGUCCCCGAUGAAGCAGUCGGUUUCAAAAACCACAAAAAACAGUGUAAGGUGUGUGUUUUUUUUUGGCCUUUUGUUACCCAAAGCUAAAAAAAUGAGAGGGAAGAAAUUGAAAAGUGACCGAGAGAGAGAACCGGUAAAGAAAUGGGAAGCGAUUUGGAUUGAAGAGAUAUAUUUGAGGAUUUGUUAUGAAAACAGAAUAAAUGAGGAAGAAAAAGAAAACAAAAGAGGGAGACCAAGAGACAGAGAGAGAAAGAAACGGAUAAUAAAUGUGCAUAGAUUGAAGAGAUAUUUGAUAAACGGCUAACAAAUCAGUUUUGGGCCAUUUUAACGGUCACUUAAUAUUUUAGUUUGAAUCCCCCUUUAAGAUAUUAAAAACAUUCAAGUCUCCUGUUUGACUUCGGAGAAAAUGCAGGAUGAACAGAAUUUGCCAACUCACACCGAACCGGGGUCAUAAAAAAACCGAACCGGGGUAAAAAACCGAACCGGGAUCAAAAACCGAACCGGGGUCCCAAAAAACCGGAACCGGGAUAUAAAAAGAAUGGGAUAUCCCUGAGGUAAUACUGAACCGGGAUAUCUGUGGAAUGGGAUAUCCCCGGCCGGAAUAAGCAUGACAGGUAGACCGGUUCAGACAGGAAAAAAAGCUGAACCGGCCACUAAAUCACUUAAACCGGGGGCCAAAAUCUCUGAACCGGAAUAAGAACUGGUAGGAUAUCCUUGCAAUAUUCCGAGACGGAAUAUAACUACAGCAGAACACUUAAAAAUCUGACAGGAUAGAAAAUUCUUAACGACAAAACGGAAAAAUCCAAAGCAUAGUUUUCAAAUAACAUAAAAGCAGGUUAGGAUAACGAAUUAAUAUAUAUAUAAAAUUAGAUAGGUGUCAACGGUAACAUUUAUGGUGAUUAAGAUGUCAACGGUAACAUUUAUUGUGAUUAAAACAUUCUUUAAAUCAAUAAAAUUAUUUUUGGGAAAUUAACAGAUACAGAAGGCAAUUCGAAGCUUCUAUCAAGGGAUCAACUAAAAUUUGUUCAAUAUUACAGUAAGAGUACCAAAUUUUCGAAAUAAAGAACAUUGAACUCUCCUGUUUGGCUUCCGGGAAAAUGCAGGAUGAACAAAAUUUGCCAACUCAAAGGUGGAUCAGUAAUUAUUUACAAAAACAAAGAUUAAUUUCAAGUUUGAAACAAAUUUCUGUCGAUUUUCUUCAAUCAGAAACCAAACAGUAAAAUAAGAGGUGUCAGUUUAUGUCUAACACUGAUUUGUUCAAUAAUUUAAAGAGUUUUUUUUAUACACUUGGAGAGUCAUAUAACAGAUCUAUAUCCAGGUGUAUAUUACACAUGGAUCUUGAAUACAAGUUCUUAAAAAUAAAAAAGGAAAUUGGGAGCAACAUAAGUAACAUGGAGCUACCAAGUUAAAACAUACCCGAUAGCACUCACAAUACUAUUUUAGGCAUUUUGACUUCUUGUAUUUGCAUCCGCUUUUGUGCCUGGCUGAAUGAGUGUUCAUCAAGUUUUCAUAUUUUCUCAUGUCAAACACUUAAGAAAUUACACAAAUUUAAAGAGAAAAAAAAAAGUGUAAGAUUAUCAAGUUAUAAUUACAGUAACAUUAGGGGAAUCAUUAGGUGGGUUAACAAUAGGAGGAGCAAAUGCGAGAGGGUUACGCAAUUCAAUUUGAUGUCGAAUAUCAAGCACAAUAUCCUCAUAAUCUGGCGUGUUCAAACAGUUAUCACAUGCACAACAAUCCUUGCAGUAAAUCCCUGCUGCAAAGCACUCACAAUAACUGCUGAUCACAACAUACAACAAAACUCAACAGAUGUUCCAAACAUCUUCUAAACAUCUUCACUUUUUUUGAGCACCCUCUGAACAUUCGGGGUAUCAUAUUCCAAACAUCUUCUAAAUACAUGAAGAAAACUUAAAAGAAAACUAAAGAUAGCGAUCUCGGGUACAUACUUAAACCAAGUCCGAGUAACAUAGUACUUAAGUGAAAUGUUCUGUCUCGCAUGUGAACUUACAGUGUCAAACAUCUGGAUCUUCUACAGUUGCAGCGUUUACAGGCUUCAGUCUCAUCUGGGAAUGUUUCUCUAUUCCUGAAUUCAAUAAAUCCCACAGCUAAGAAAUCAAUGUGAAAAUCAUUCAAGUAAAAAAGAUUAUGUAAACUUGCCUCUCCCCUUUUGAGCUAUCUUGGGAUUUGGAAUCUAUUAACAAUCAAGUCAUUACUGGAAUCCUCGUCAAAAAGAUCUGAGAAUAGUAGGAGGUAGAGAGAAGCCCAUGCUGCAAUUAAAGCAUGGAAAGUUGAAAAUCCCCUGUACAAGAUAAGGCUAUCUAGAUCAAUGUUGCAAAGAAAUUUAGGAAAGAAAGUUAUAUUUUGAACAAUUUUUUAUACAAGAAAAAGGAAAAGAAGAAAAGAACAUAGGACAAAAUUGCACCGAUUGUUCCAUUCCACUUUUUCUUUAUCACUUAGUUUUCCAUAUCCUUUGAAACAAAAAGGGCUGAUAAAACCUGUUAUAUCAUAGACCUGCAAGAAUAAUAUCGAACAUAUUUAGAACUUAAAUAGAGGGAGAGAGACUAUCUCAAAACAGUAUUAAAAGGCUGUUACUUAGAAUCGAGGGUUAGUGUCAGAUAUAAUAUAAGGAUGCGUCCAACAUGGGUAUACUAAACCUUUUAAAGUUCUUCCAUAUAUUUAGAUCAUCAUACUUUAGAAGGAAAAAAAAAAAAAGAAGAGUCUAGGUAACAUAGUUUAAAAAGACAGAUAACUCAAUAAGUUGCAUUAAUCUCGAAAACAUUUCAACUAUCAAAAAUACCAACAAAUAGACCCAGAAAGAGAAGUGAAAUUACCUUUACCAUAUAAAAAAAAAAAAUUCUUAUGCAGCUACUCAAUUUACUUCUAAAGCUAAAGCCAACUUAUGAUAUUUAAUGAUAGAAUUGCAUUAUGUUUCCAAUGCAUGAUUCUUUUGUUUGGAAAGUUCAAAUACUCCCAAUGUAAGAAUAUCUAAAUAUGAGCAUCAGAAAUUAGAUAAAUAUGUACAUUCUGUACUCUAAAAGUGAAAUGUGAGCCGAUGUACUGAUGACAAAUCUAAUACUGCAGUUCUAGGCAGUCCUAAAUAGGCAGUCCUAAAUAGAUUAAUCUAAGGUCAAGUGGUUUAAAUCUAAUCUUCAGGGGGUUUCGAUAAUUUCCCUAAAUAGUCCACAAACUUUGGCAACUUAGAACAAACCUAAUAAACUACUCCAACUUGAGCAUGGACAGCAAAUGUAGAUAUGGACAACUUUGACCCAAAAUUCAAAGAUACAGGUCCAAAAGUGGAACCACUACCAAGGUCUUUUAGACGUCAGUGUGGAGCUGUCUUAUCCUAAGUUUCCCAAACCCUUUUAUGCUUCAUUUGAGGUUAGAAUCUCGGGAAGGCAGGUCUUUUAUGAGUGUUAGCAUAAUUUAGUUGCAUCAUUGUUGGUGCCAAACCAUUUUUUUCUCAACCAACCUAUUCUUCCUCUCUGUUUUAAGGUACUAUUCACGGUCAUUCUCUAUUUCUUAAUUGCCAAUUUCAAAGCCUAUUCCUAAAUUUUGGAUAAAAAUAAAUGGUAGAAACUGGCCGAAUAUGAUUCUAAGCAAUUUUAUACUACCAUAACUAUUACCAUUCCCAGAAAAGAAAAAAAGCUACCUAUGGAGCUAAUCUAUCAACAAGAUUUAGGAACAAAUUUAAUUAUCACGAACUAGAUAAGGCUGAGGAUGGUUUACUGAGUGCCAAGAUUAGAGUGAAUUGAAUUUAUAAAAGAUGGAAAUGAAAAAGAAGAUUAAUAAAAGCCAUUGAAUUUGACCGAAAUCUACAAAUAAGAAAGAGCUGAAAAAAGUUCCAAUCCACCAAAAAUGUCGUUGAUGAAAGCAAAAGCAUAUUGGACUACUUACUAGUUUGCAGGUGAUGAUGCCCCAAAAAGCAUGAUGCGAGCCAAUGUAUUGGGUCCUCUCUCACGGAAACUAACUUGCUACUCUAGCGUUGGUGUUUUUUGAGAUUUGGUCUCCCAAAGCCAGGAAAAAAAUGAGGAGAAAAUUGAGAAGAGAAUCUGUUCUGAAAGAAGAAUAAAAGGAGGAAGGGAGAAAAAGCAAGCAAGAGAGACAAACGGCUAAUGUAUUGGGGAAAGUUAUAGAUGGAAUACGGAGAGAUAAACGGCCAAUAAAUGGGGGUACGUGAUUGAAGAUAGGGAGAAACGGCAAUAAAUGGAAUAGGUAUGGAUUAAAAGAAACGGUUAGUAAAGGAGUAUUUAAUUUUCAAACUAUGGAAAAGUAGCAGGAUUUGUAAAGUCAGCAGAAAACGGGUAAUGGGCUCCUUUUUAAAAAUAGACUGAAUUUAACUUGAAAAUUAAAUAAGGAGCAAUUUUAAAAAAUGUAAAUAUUAAAGUUCAAAUUUUUUAUAUGUAAAUACUUUAAAUUUUAUUAGCCAUUCAUAAAUAAUUUUAAUGCUAGAAAAUCAAUAAAAUAUAUAUCUAAAAAUAUAGAGAAGAAAAUAACUUAAAAUUUUGAACUAUAAAGAGAAAUUGAUAGAAUUGUCUAUUUAAAUUGGAUCAGACAAUAUUUUACUUGAGGUGGACUUGACUUUUUAGCCUUCAAAUCUAUUUUUUUACAAUAUAAUACUAUAUUUAUUAAUUAAAAAAAGAAAAAAGGGAAACACUUCUCCUACCCAUUAUUGCCCCAAAUCUAAGAUUUUUUAUAUCUCCAACUUACAGUGACAUUGUAGAGAAUUUUUAUUUCUCCACCGUUUAUUCGUUGCUUUAUGUUUUAUGGUUCUCCAACAUACAGUUUUAAUUUUCCAUAAAUCCAUCCCAUUAAACUAUAUGAGAGAGCAUCAGCACCAUAUUAAACACGAGAAGCAAAAGGUAUUCCUAGAAUCAUGCAUACUACUGCAUCACAAUGAAGAUUAACUAAAAGCUGCUAAGUACUGUAUAAAGCGACAAUGCAUCAAAACUGAGUGGGACAAGGUAAAUAGAAAACUCUUUACCCUUUUGAGGCAAUGAAGCAGGAGUAUCCCUGGAGUCCGAUGCAUUAUCAAGAACGUAAGGAAGAUCUAGCAAUUCCAAGAAAGAUACACAAGGUGAAAAAAUUUUAAUAAUUGAAAAAGAAAUCAAGCAAAAACAAAUUGCAAAAGUUAUGAUUAUUCUAGUUGCAAAUCUAAAUAAAAAAGAAUGCAUUCGCUAACCAACAAUUAAUUGAGCUAAAAUAAGACAAAAAAUGAAGGAUAGUGUUUCGUAAUGACUGUGACAGUAAUAUCGAAAUGCCUAACCAUUAUAGUGAUAAAUGGUAUAAAUAUGCAAACAUAUAUUGUCAGUUUCUUAAAUCCAAAAGAUAGAACCAUUAAUGGAGAUACUAUUAGCACCUCAAAGAAGGAAAAGCAUCAAAAUAUCACCAUAUUAUUUACCAGAAAAAGUAGUGUUUGAAACUGAAUCAGAGGGUUUGUGAGGUGGAGCCGUUUGAGAAAAUUCACAAGGUUUGGCUCCUCUGUCUUCCAUCCUGCUCUUAACCCAUUGACGACAAUCUUGCAUGUCGAGCUGUGUUCUCCUACAUAUUAGAACAACAGUUGUCGGCUCACUAGUUCUUGUAGAGUAAUAGUACUUGCAAAAAUAGAAAAUUGCACAUUUUCAAAUAAAACAUUAGUCCACCCCACCAGAGAGAGAGAGAGUGAAAUGAGUGGCAUGGUCAAAACAAAAAUGUCAUAUAUACACACACCCAAAGCCUCCACGUCAGAAGGUCAAAGGAAAAAGACAGUUUAAUUUCCGUGUUAUUGCCAGCCAUUCUUCAUUGUACUGAACCUCAUAAGGUCCUAGAUCAGAUCAAUAUCAACAAUCUAAAAGAUCAGAGAAAGCCAGAAUUCAUUUAUUAGCUUCCAGCAAAGACCAAAAGAAAGAACCUAAAUGAAAUGGUCAGAACAUAUGAUAGAUACCUGCAAGAACUUGCGCCCUGGAAGGCAUUUAUCGAGUGCAAGAAAUUUUGUCACUCGACCACCCUCUUCAUGUUCAACAAGAGCAGUGAAUUUACAGUGCAAGUGAGCUGAAAACCAAUAUGAUGGUUUGAGUUUUUCGAACAGCUGAGCAGCAGGCUUGCUUCCAAGAGUUCCUUACUGGAUCUAGGAAAUAUGUUUCAACCAACAAGCAACCAGAAAUGGUCAACAAGAAAACUGAAUACGCUUGAUAUGAAGAUUUUCAUUCUUUCACAUAUAUGUAUUUCCACCAAAUCGAUUAUAAUUGCCUCAUCUUUGAAAUGUUUUUUGUAGCGAACAAGUUGUUGCCGGUUUCCACAAUUAGUGAUGCCGAGCAGCCAAUCGUGUCAAAGGAAAAUAUCAAUCGGUUCCUCUAGGUGCAUGAGCUUGUGAACAUCAUACUCCCGGACAUGAUACACAGACCUGAUAGUAUUGUCAUUAUAAGGUGGCCUUUCAUGGUGUCCUGCUCACGGAAAAGCUAAUUCAUUUCAGUUUCAAAGCUGCGACUCUCCACCCUAAAUAAGAAUCAAUAAAACAUAUUUGACACUCGCUUGCAGUAAAUAAACAAUCACCAUUAAACGAACUCCAGAAUAAACAUAGAAUAGACAAGUAAAAGAACUUCAUACCCAACCUAAACAAUAAUUACGCGCAUUGUAAAUUCCGAAAAGUCCACCGAUACGGAUAUUGCCAAACUUCACAACCCCGGCAAACCCCAAGAAGUAUAUAUUAGGUGCUGCCCAUCCCCCAUAAUACCUAAAGUUCACACAUUUCAAUCGCAGAAGGUAAAAUUCAAGGCCUUUUCAUAAAAGAAUCAAAAUCCCCAAGCUAGAACAUAUGAAGAAAAGGGGUGACUUACAAUUCCCAUAAAUAAUUGGAAGCUUCAUGACCCGAAUAGUAUUUCCAGAAUGACUUCAUCUCCCAAAAUUUUGGGGGCACAUUAAGGCUAUCCAUAUCUUUUUCAUUCCUGACUGCCUAAGCUGCAAAAGAAAAAAGAAAUUAAGUUCAUAUAAAAAAUAAAGUGACAAUAAUAUUGGUCUAUUUGCUCAAAAAAAUCAGCUUCCACAGCAUAUUUAAACCGCAUGCCCCUCAAAGACUCCUUCCCAGCAAUGCUCAUAUCUGCACAUUCAGCAGCAUUUAUCAUGGUGAGGCCAGUAGCAAUUGAGGUUGCCUUGCUAGGAGGGGGAUGAAUGAAAACUAGUGACUGUACAUUACCUACUCCAAGAUUGGAUGACUUCCCUGGCUUUCUUGUCCCAUAUUCUUCAAUGUGUUCAGAUUGUUCAUGACAAGCCUCAUGAAUGAUGCUAUGCAAAUUAUCUACUGAAACAAUAACCACUUCAUUUGGAUAUGUUUCUGGAACAGUUUCACAUGUAUCACUGACUUCGUCAUAUAUCAAACAACAAUAUAACACAUUGGUUAACCAACUAUUGACCUAAACAAAACAGGAUUUAUCAGGGAUAAAAGGCAAGUAUAUACCUCUGCAAGGCAGGGAGGACGAGCAUCGUAUAUGCAAGUUUUAUCUUAUUGGUGACACCAGAGAAGGAUUUAAAUGUUGCAGCUGCUUGCCUCAAAGCCGCUGAUUCUUGAGGAUGCUGCAAGGCCCACUCAAACUGCAGGCAUCAACCCAUCAGAAAAUAUUUAUAUAUUAGUAAUAAGCCAUGAGUCAGAACAGUUAUUGGAAGUAUUACAUAUAAUAAAAUCAAUUAGCUCAGAAAAUUUUAAAUUUUGGAAGCAUUCUUCACCAAUCAAGAAUGUCUCUUCGAGUGUCAAAAAGCUGCCUUUUCGGCAUUUAAAAAAAAUCCGGCAUUCUCUAUCUCUUAUCUCAUCACUAAGCAUGGACAACAUAAGACAAUUAAAUUUCACAAUAAAGUAGAUAAGAACCCAAAAAACCCCCUAAACUAAAGGUUUCCUGCCAUAGCCAAAUCUCAUCUAGACUGAGAAGAUAUUCAUCUGCAGUGGCUGGAAUAAGUUAACCAAAUACCAUAAGAAUAAAAAAGAUGAUACAAAUGCAUGAAAACUCAAGGUAGAAUAUAGCUGCUGAGCCCAACAAAAUUCCUUGUUACAACAAGCAAGCUAGGAUCCAGAGCGCAUGUAUACAAGAAAAUCAACAAGCGCUAAAUGAUGAGACUUGUGAGAUAGACCAAUUCAUAGUCAUAUAAAUGGCAUUUCAAGCAUAACCUGCCAGUUUUCUACUAAGCCCAAAAGGUGAUGCAACAGAUUCAAAUACAACCAUGUUAUAGACUAUAUAUAAAAUAUAAAUUCUUGUAGUAUUAAAGAACACAAAAACAAUGUCUUUUGGUGUAAGAAUACACAUGAACUAUCAAACUCUGACAAACUAGAGCAAAGUGGAUUACCUGCUGGUCAUAAUCAUUUUCGGCAUGGGUUAUUCCUAGUAAUCUCCAACCUUCAGCAUUCUCAGGAUUUUUCAUAACUUCAGCCUCCAGGUCAAGCACUGCUUCACUCAAAAGUCCUUUCCUCAAUAGCUCUUGACCUUCUUUUAAAGGAUUUUGAUGACCAACAUAUGGAUUCAUAUCAGAAAAAACAUAGACACCCCUUGAAGCGUCCAACCGCUGAGGAACCUACAAGUUUUCACAACCAAAACAUUCAUGUAGAAUUAAGAGAGGUUAUAAAGUGAACUUCUUCAAGGCUACCAGACUUACUCAUCAUAUGAAUUUGCCCAGCUAUCAGACGAACUAUCUCCCAAAGCCCCCUCACCAACUUGAUGACCAAAUUCUUCUGCCCGGUCAUCAACAUGCAACUUUGAGAAUUCAUUGACCCAUUGAUCAUCGACAGACUCUUGUUGCAAUCUUUCAGCACCAAAUUCAUUGGCCCAAUGGUCAGGUCCACAGAAAACCUAUUAACCAUCAAGUCAAGAACACUUAAUGAAAUGAAGAAAAUUAGAAUAUUUCAAAUAAGAAUAAGAGCUUCGCACGGUUUAAGAGUCUCGAAAUAAUACAUAACACUCAGAAUCAUUAGUUGCACGUUGUAUCCUGAAUAAACAAAUCAAAAGACCCUAGUUGUUCUCAUACAGUAGCAAACUCCUCAGCCCAUUGAUCAGGUUGAAGAAAAUCAAAGAACCACCAACCAGAGUAGCAGAUUCUGUAUAAUAAAAACAUUUAUACAAAUUACAAUGUUUUUAGCUGGUUUAAUACCAAACAGAGAUAUACAAUUACAAGAAUCAUCAGUGACAGUUUAUCUUCUAACUUAUUAUAAUCAAUAAGCUCUCACUGCUCAAUUUAGUAGCGAACUCCAUGGCCCAUUGGUUUGGCCCAUAGAAAUACUAAGAACCACCAAAACAGUGAGUAGCAUAUUUUAUAAAUAACAAAUAUAGAUAAUCUCAUAUAAGACUUACAGGUUUAGUUGAUUUAAAAGUUCAACUGAAGAUGUAAUAAUACAGAAUCAUUAGUCAUUCACACUUUAUUUGCUAAAUUAUAGUAGAUAUAUAGAUAAUAGCACUAACCAAACCAUCAUUAUCAUUUGGGACAUUCUCCAAUCAUCAAAACUAGUUUCAACCACCUAGGGUUGGUGAAUGAGAUUACUACCUAAGGUCAGUGAUGUUAGUUCCAUUUUAGUUUACGUAGGCAAGGCAGAAGAAAAGGAGGAGGAAACUGCUAAAAGGAAUUUAUGACUGAUUAUCAGGACAUAUUAAUCCAUAAGCUUCUUGAGCUUCCACAAGAUCUCUACUUGCCUCAUCAUGAGCAAAUUCAUCAGCCCAAGAAAAACCUCCAUUGUACUGUUGCUGAUAUUCUGUUGCCCAGUUCUCUGAUGCUGGUUUGACCUGAUUAUCAUCAAUGAUAAGUUCACCACGACUCAUCUUGGAUACAAAUUGAAGAAAUUAUGAAUUCUGCUAGCCCCAAUACAUACAGCACAUAAGUGCCUACAUUAACUCAUGCAUAGUAACGAUUAUAUCAUUAAGAGCUAUCUUGCCGCAUUGCAAGUAUUUAGCCAAACAGUUUUAAAUAACCCGAAACUUAGGAUCACUGUUUUGAGAGAGUGUAUGUGCAAGCAUCCUAGUCUGCUGAAUUGCAGCCAAACUUUCAAUAUUUUCCCCUCUCAUUUGAUCUACAGAUGUUAACUGAGCUUGUUCCUGUAUAUGUUAACUGAGCUUGUUCCUGUAUGUUUUAGCUCAUUAAUUGUGUUAUGCAAGAAAAGCAGGCUAAAAGGUGACACGCAUGUAAAGACUACUCAAAGCACGAGAUAGUGGCAGAAAGAAAAGGAAAGAUAAAGCCAAAUUGGAAGGUAUAUCCAUCUGCAAUAGCACAAGGAGUUAGAUACAGUUCCCUGGUAAAAACACAUUAGCAUGUCCUUUCAAAUUUGCACAUGAUGCAUUGAUAGAGAAACCUACAUAUCGAAUAAAGCAGUGAAAACAUACCACCGAAAGAAAUGAAUGGGUGACUCAGGCGUGAAAAUAAGAGUGAAGAUAAUUUCAAGAGACAUACAAAAAUUUUGCUAAAUCCCUGUUGCAAAAGAUUGACUAGAAAAAAUUAACAUGAGAAAACAUUGAUCCAUAUUUGGAGAUCAACCAAAUCCAAUCCAACCAAAUUGACUAGAAAAAAUUAAAAACCCUAUCUCAAAACUGACACAAAAGUCUAUCAAAGCUUAUUCAAACUCAAGGAAACUUUCCAAUUGCUACAUAAUUGUAAGAAACAGACUAAAAUGAAAAAGAAAGUUACAAAAAUAUGAACAAAUGAAAGAAGAUAAGAUUCACUUGAUAGCUCCAAAUUAAGUAGUUCCUGAAGUGUAAAAGACUUAGUACGAUAACAAACUGUUGAUGACCUUCUCAUCCAGGUCCAUAUGGAAUUAAUCACAAUUCUAUAAAAAUAUUUGUAAAAUAUACCAAAGAUUAAUAUCCGGAACUACUUCCAAGUACAUAAUCACAAAGCUAAUAUCCGCAAUAUAAAGAAUCUGAGUCCUAUGACUUAGAACCAAAGUCCAUAACUCCGGUGUCGGAGCCAAUAGGUAACGAAUCCACCUCUGUUGCUGAAACUUAUGGAACCAAAUGGCUUCCCGAUCCAAUCUGAAUGUUUAAAUACACCAAAACGAUUUUGAAGAACCGAAUUCUCGCAUACUUUUAACAGCUUUCAUAGUAUCAUGCCUCUCAUAUACAAUAAUCAAAUCUCCAUCUCUAAUGCGGCGAUUGAAAGAUAUCUUCAUCAAGGAAUCCAUAAGCAAUAUCCUUAAAAUACGGAAAACACAUUCAAUUGAAUACACAGAUGAUGUUGGACUAAUAUGCAAUUUCUGUACCAAAAUUUACUCCCCAAAACGAAAAUAUUUACCACAUAUCCAAAGUCCCAUUAACAAUAAACUAUCACCUAGAAUACCAGGAAGACCCGAAUUCAUUAAUAUAUAUAUGUAUAUAAAUAGGAAAAGAGUAUCACCAUUGUCAAUGAAGAUACCCAUUAUAUUUGUAGUUUGUAAAGGUCACUUUCUCAAUACAGGAAAAUUCUCAGGACAUGUAUCAUUCUUGUGAUUACAUGCCAACCCAGCUCCAUCAAAUCUCUAAACUUGUAUCUACAAUAGGUAUGCUGGAGAAGUACUCACAUAUCAGCCAUCAAGUUGAAUUUUUAUCAGUAUUGCCUUCUUGCUGUGCUUUAAAAGAAUCUUCCUUUUCCUCCAUGACCUGCUGAUACCUUCUUGAUAUCCUUCUAUGAAACUCUUAAGAGCACCUCUAUAUGCAGAAGCCCUUGUCAAGUAUAAUCUCUGUAAAGCAGGCCUCCAAGUCUCCAUCCCUCCUCUUGCAGUGAUCGCUAUUAAAUCAUUUCCAUAGACAACAUCAAGACAAUGUAAAAUUCAACAAGAUAAACUAUAAUACCAGGAAAAUAAGAAGAGAAAAGGGUGAGACGAGAGAAAUUCGGCCUAAAAAAUUGUAGUUGAAAAAGAGAAGCUGUACCAACAAGGUAAAAGAUUACAGAAUAAGUAGGAAAUUAUCAUGAGUUAUAAUAAAAGAUUACAGAAUAAGUAGGAAAUUAUCAUGAGUUAUAAAUUUUCUUUCUCAAAUCAAUUAAAGAAAUAUAUAUUAAGAUGUUCAGAAAAUACUAACAAGCAUCCCAAUUAGAUUAUUAUUAUUUUUUAAAACUAAAGUACAUAUUUUUUAAAACUAAAGUACAUAUCAAGAAACAGAAUGUCCCAGUCUGGAAUCCUAUAUGCCGGUUUGGAUCGUUUAGUGGGUACUUCGCAUUUCUAUAAAGAAUGGAAAACUAUUGAAAUAAUUAUAUAUGCAUUAUUUAAAUUUCUGCAAAACAAUUAAUUAAAAUAUUUCUAAAAAUAUUCUUAUAAAUAUUAAAUUGGAUCCGACCUGGUUUAUCAUUUAAUAUAAAGGGGUUAAUAUAAAGAACAGUUCGGUGAUUGUAAACUUUAUUGAAAAAACAAUAAUUAAAUCCAAAUAAUAUUUGUUCAUGUAUCUGUCGUUUUUUUAAACACCUACCUUUUUUAAUUUAGGUCACCUAUUUAGAAAAUCCUAAUAAUAACCAACUGAUAUAGCAUAAAACAACCACAAAGUAACUCACAGACCACAUCAAUAAAUUUCAAACACACAGCAAAAAAAAAAAAACAAGUAAAAAACCAUCCAUUUAUAAACUGUAAUCGCCGAAAACGGCUCCGUAGAUCACAAUGUUUCAGAUCCACUGGUUCCUAUCAGCAAGCGAAACAUGAAAUUUAUAUCGGUCCAACCAUAGCAUCGCCGGUCACUGCUCUUGGCUACCGGCGACGUGGCAUCGAACCCAAAAAUGAUAGAUAAAAAAAAUCCAUUCAAAAGAAAACCCUCAGAGACCCGUUUCAAAUCACUCACACAGCGGAACACGCUUCGAGGAAGCACUCGCCUGAUUUCCUGGCCAACCAUCAAACACCUAAGAACAAAUAUCAGAGGGCUGAGAAUUGGCAGUUGGGAAGACGGGUAUGUUCCUUAGCGAGUUGCCGCCGCUGAUUAAAGUGUCAUACGGCACUUCCUAUCUAUGGGAAUUCUUCCUCACUGGGAUUUCAAACUAUAAAACACUUUUUCUUCUACAUUUCAAAACAAAUUUAAACCAAAACAAAAAAACAAACAAAAAUAAAGAGUAAAAAGGAGAGUUCCGCAAAUAAACCCUAGAAUGACUUGUUCUUUUUAUUAUAUGGCGGAGAAACUUAGUAAGAUUUUAUAAAGAGCAACGGUGUUUAAAGAAACCCUAAAUCUCUAAAAUAGAAAUUUUAGAGAGAUUGAAAUUCAUCAAAUUGGGCUUAUUUUGGUGAUUUUAAAUAAAUCGAAAGGGAUUUUCAAGGCCCAAAAUGCUUGAUGUAGGAUGCUCCUACAAACUCCAUAUGCCUAAACUAUUGGUUUUAUUAAUCUGUUUCCAUCCAUUUUAAAAUAUAUAUAUAUUUAAUCUAUAAAUAUCAGAAUGUAAAAGUGAAUUUAAACAUAAUGAAAAUAUUUAUAAAAAAAAUUGUUAAAAACAUUAUUAAAAGAAUUCAAAAUUUGCUCUGUUAUCCCUAAAUUUGACAUCCUACUUUUAUUGGUUGAAAACAAUUUGGAGUAAUUCCGAGUAUAUUAAACCUUCACCGGCCAAUUCAAUCCCAAACUAGUUUAAUCCCUAUCAAAUAAUAUGAUAUUAUUACUCAUGUCUUAUUCGAUUACUUUAUAAAAAAAAAACUAAAUCCAAACGCUUAUAAAAAUUUAUAAAUUUAAUCCACAAAUUGGUACUUAAAUUAUAUAUUUUUUCUCAUCUUUAUACCUAAUCUUUUUAUAAUCUUUUUAUUUUAUUUUCAUCAAUAAAAUAAAAUAUUUAGAGAGGUUGAGUAAUUGGUUUCAUUAUUAUUAGGGGAGGGAACGGGCCUAUAUCCCUUUAGCGGAAUAAGAAAGAAUAUUAACACCAGUAAAAAUAAAAAAUCCGAACCAGAUUCAAAAUAUUUUACUAAGAAAAAAAAUAAAACGAAUAAAAAUAGUAAUUUCUAAACCUGAAAACCAAAAACCAUAAAAUAAACCAAGAAAUAGAAAUAAAAAAGCAUAAUUCUUAAAUUAAAAACAGAAAACAGAAAAUACAAUGUUGAAGCAAUGAUUCGUACCUUAUGAAGCAAGGGAUUCCAAAAAUCUCAAAAAACAGAAACGGCACAAUGUCUUUGCAGUCCUUUAGGCGUCGGUUACAAAAAAGUUAAAAAACAUUAAAAGGAAAAUUUUAAAAUGAGACAGACAAAAUAAAAGAAAGAGUAAAGAGAAAAAAAAUGGUUAGAAAAAAAAAGGAAAAUGAAAAGAGAAUAAACUAUUAAAAAAUACCUAUUAUCACAAGUCACAUUAACUGAGACUCCAAAAUCAUGCCAAUUCUCCCAGCCCAAAAAACUAGGACCAUUAUCUCGAAUAGCAAAAAACCAAUGACCCAAUAGAACUAGAACAAAACGAACAAAAAGCCAAUCCAAAAAAAACGAAACCAUCAAAUCUAAACAAACUACCCAAAACAGGAAUGAAAAUGCAAAAAGAUAAAUGAUAAGCAAAAAAACACAUAAUAGUCAAUAAAUUGACUAAAGUACAACUAUACAAACAUCAACAGAUUUGAAAAGAUGAACCAAAACAAUUUUUCAUAAUGUUGAGAACCAAAAUAGUUGCUGGGAAUUCAGAUGUUUUAAUAAUUAAACUAAUCCUUUAAUAACCAAUUCUUCACAUUCUAAGUAAAUAUAUCUUUAAUAAAAAUUAAACUCUCCAUCUCUAAUUUCUAAUUUGUAUAUUAUAAAUCGCAAAUAUAAUUAUUCUCUUCAUAAAAUCCGUUCCAUAAAAUAGAGGAUUAUCAAAAAUAUAUAUAUCUGCUCAGAAGACACGAAUUUUCUUCUCAUAGAUUUUUAAAAAAAUCUCUGAAGUCUGACAUGUGAAUUUAUUUCAUAAUUCAUCACAGCAGAAGUUUUAGAAUAAAGCAUUUUAACAAAAGAUCAAAUCAAAACAAUGUUCAAAAUUAGCUCUCAUUCUUUCUCUCAAAGUUUCUGCUCAUUUCUGCAAAUCGGAAUAGCGUAUAUUGCCCAUAUUAGGCUCAAUAAUCAUAGAGCUAAUCAAAUUAAUUUCUCAACUUGGAUACACAAAUUGAAACUUCUAAUCCAAAUAUAGAAAAAAUAUUGCAAGUUGAAUUUUGAGAUCAGAGUUUGGUAAAAAAAUUUGUCUGUCACUGUUGAAUCAGAAACACGGACCAAUUAAACCUCAUCAUAUCUCAAAAUUUUAAAGAAAUUUACAACCAAAAAAAUGGAGAAUUUUUUAAUAAAUUUCAAUAAAUAAAUAAAACAAAGGAACGAUCAUCAGACUUAAAUACAAGUAAUCAUGGAAUAAAUCCAUUCAUAUUGUUGCAGUUUUUUUUUCUCAUCAACUGAUCGAUGACAAAUACAAUACGAAGGAAAGAAAUUUUCGGGGAAAUGGAAGCCAUAAACCAUAGAUCUGAAAGCUGAAAGGAAACGAAAUGAAACCUAGUUGUGAAGAAGAGGGGAAGGUGGCGAAAGUCUGGGUUUUCAUGGUAUUUAUAGAUCUAAUUGGGGAGGUCGCGCUAUAAACACUAGAUUGCAACGGCGGCGUUAACCACUGGGACUAGAGAAUUGAAAUGGGCUGAAUUGCUUAAUAAUUGAACCAUAGACAUUACAUUUAUAAUUGUUGAUAGUUCAUCUUCGACCAUUCUCCAAUCAGCUUUUAGCUUAUGAACCACAGUUUAAGCAUAAGGCAACCACUAAGUAGCUUAUUAACAAAUUAAAAGCUAAAAAAUUAAAUAUAAAUUGAAAUAAUAGUUUUUCCUUAAAUCUUUUUGCAAUAUUUCAGAAAAGAAAUUAAAAGAAAGAGGAAAAAGAACCUGGAGUUGAGAAGAGGGUUUGGUUUUCAAAUACAAACAAUCCCAUAGAGCACUCCAUUUUCCAUAGCAGUUAUCCAAAACUACUCCUCUAUAAUACUGUUGCAAUUGAUGAACCGGAGCUGCCCAACGAAUUAUUGAAUCAAUUCAUAUAAAAAGUUGAAACUGGUAAAAAAAAAAAUAGAAAAUAGAGAGAGGGUGGAAUACAAUAGCAAAACCAGAGAGCAUCGAAGCAUUUAGUGCAGGACAAGAACCCGAUCCAAAAACCACGAAACCAUCCCAUCUAAACAAACCACCCCAAAACAGGAAUGAAAAGGCAAAAAGAAAAAUGAUAAGCAAAGAAAUACAUAGUAGUCGAUAACUGACUAAAGAACAACGAUACAAACAUCAACAGAUUUGGAAGGACGAACCAAAACAGUUUUUCUUAACGCUGAGAACCAAAACUUUUAACACUUCAGUUUACAGCAUUUAAACACUUCAAUUUGCAGCACUUUAACAUCUCAAUUAACAACAUUUAUACACCUCUAUCACAGCAAUAAAACAUCUCAUUUUCUAGCAACUAAACACUCGCUUUGGAUUUCACUCAAUAAUACUCUAAUGGACAUAUUAUAACGAGUCACUGCUUAGCCAUUUCAAGUUUCAAGAAUUCAAUAUUGUUUGGGACAUUUCGUCAAACAAUUCAUGAGUGUCCAAAUACCUAGAAGCACUGAAAGCCAAAGGAAGCGGGAAAGUACUAUAAAUGCAAAGGACAAAAAGCAAUAGAGAAAAAAAUCAAUGCCCUUGGAAACAACAGCGAAAACCUACUACUCAUUCUUUAGCAUUUUUUUUCAGUCCCAUAAAAACCAUCAACUCAAUUUCCCUUCAUGUAAGGCUAGGUAACACGGAUGAAUAUAACUCUUUAUCUUUAACCAAAAUCCGAGUAUUUCACCACAUGUAUAUAUCAAUAAUCACAAAAAACUUCCUAUUCAGCUGAUAUACAGAGAUACCAUGGGUUUACCAAAAACUUCUAAUCAAAAUCCAUUCGCACAUCAUACCCAACAGAACACGAACAAUCCCAACUAUUUUAAAGAAAAUAUACCCAAUCCUUACUAAUAAAUGCAAGCACCUAGCAGUAUGAAAAAGAAAACAUAUAUGCAUACACGAAUCUUGACAAUCUCCACCGUAUAUGAUCCUGAAACCCAAAUCCAAAAAAACCUUUGCAAUUAGCAAAUCGGUUGAAAUUCUACAAUUCUUCAAUCACUAUCAAUAUUAACAAGCAUCCCAAUUAGAUUAUUAUUAUUUUUUAAAACUAAAGUACAUAUUUUUUAAAACUAAAGUACAUAUCAAGAAACAGAAUGUCCCAGACUGGAAUCCUAUAUGCCGGUUUUGAUCGUUUAGUGGGUACUUCGCAUUUCUAUAAAGAAUGGAAAACUAUUGAUAUAAUUAUAUAUGCAUUAUUUAAAUUUCUGCAAAACAAUUAAUUAAAAUAUUUCUAAAAAUAUUCUUAUAAAUAUUAAAUUGGAUCCGACCUGGUUUAUCAUUUAAUAUAAUGGAGUUAAUAUAAAGAACGGUUCGGUGAUUGUAAACUUUAUUGAAAAACCAAUAAUUAAAUCCUAAUAAUAUUUGUUCAUGAAUCUGUCGUUUUUUUUAAACACCUACUUUUUUUAAUUUAGGUCAGCUAUUUAGAAAAUCCUAAUAAUAACCAACUGAUAUAGCAUAAAACAACCAACUAUCAAGCAACUCAUCCUUAUGACACCUUACCUUAAUUGGCACCAAUGGACACCUUUUAGAUCUAAUAACACAAGCAAUACUGUCAAGCAUUACAAGCUUCUCAACCAACUAUCAUCCUUACGACAAUUCAUAUCAUUCUAUUUAAUUUAUGGUCAUAUCAUUUCUUAGCAACUCAAACCACGUCCACAACAUCACAAAUACCACAAUUGCAUAUUUAGCCAACCUACAUUUAUAACGUUCAAGCAACUUAAAUUGCAUCAUUACAAUGACUUAUUUUAUAUCAAUAAUACAACUUAUGUUCGUGAUCAUUUGGACAGUGUAAACGAAUAUUCAGACAGCUUACAAUGACAACAUAACAUGUUUUAAAAUAACAUCAAGUGCAAUUUUGUUUUCUAGCUUAUUUUCGACUGCAUUUAAUCACCAAAAAGGAAGUGCAAUAACUAAUUUUAGACUCAUUUAUACACCAAAAUUUGCAGCACUUAAACACUUCAAUUUAAAUCAUUUAAGCACCUCAAUUUACAGCAAUUAAACACUUUAAUUUACAGCAUUUAAACACCUCAACUUACAACACUUUAACAUCCCAAUUAACAACAAUUAUACACCUCAAUCACAGCCAUAAACAUGACAGCGUUUAAAUACUUCAAUUUGCAGCACUUUAACACUUCAGUUUUCAGCAUUUAAACACUUCAAUUUGCAGCACUUUAACAUCUCAAUUAAGAACAUUUAUAAACCUCAAUCACAGCAAUAAAACAUCUCAAUUUCUAGCAACUAAACACUCGCUUUGGAUUUCACUCGAUAAUAUACUCUAACUGACAUAUUAUAACGAGUCACUGGUUAGCCAUUUCAAGUUUCAAGAAUUCAAUAUUGUUUGGGACAUUUUGUCAAACAAUUCAUAAGUGUCCAAAUACCUAGAAGCACUGAAAGCCAAAGGAAGCGGGAAAGCACUAUAAAUGCAAAGGACAAAAAGCAAUAGAGAAAAAAAUCAAUGCCCUUGGAAACAACAGCGAAAACCUACUACUCAUUCUUUAGCAUUUUUUUUCAGUCUCAUAAAAACCAUCAACUCAAUUUCCCUCCAUGUAAGGCUAGGUAACACGGAUGAAUAUAACUCUUUAUCUUUAACCAAAAUCCGAGUAUUUCACCACAUGUAUAUAUCAAUAAUCACAAAAAACUUCCUAUUCAGCUGAUAUACAGAGAUACCAUGGGUUUAUCAAAAACUUCCAAUCAAAAUCCAUUCGCACAUCAUACCCAACAGAACAGGAACAAUCCCAACUAUUUUAAAGAAAAUAUACCCAAUCCUUACUAAUAAAUGCAAGCACCUAGCAGUAUGAAAAAGAAAACAUAUAUGCAUACACGAAUCUUGACAAUCUCCUCCGUAUAUGAUCAUGAAACCCAAAUCCACAAAAAACCUUUGCAAUUAGCAAAUCGGUUGAAAUUCUACAAUUCUUCAAUCACUAUCAAUACUAACAAGCAUCCCAAUUAGAUUAUUAUUAUUUUUUAAAACUAAAGUACAUAUUUUUUAAAACUAAAGUACAUAUUUUUUAAAACUAAAGAACAUAUCAAGAAACAGAAUGUCCCAGUCUGGAAUCCUAUAUGCCGGUUUGGAUAGUUUAGUGGGUACUUCGCAUUUCUAUAAAUAAUGGAAAACUAUUGAAAUAAUUAUAUAUGCAUUAUUUAAAUUUCUGCAAAACAAUUAAUUAAAAUAUUUCUAAAAAUAUUCUUAUAAAUAUUAAAUUGGAUCCGACCUGGUUUAUCAUUUAAUAUAAAGGGGUUAAUAUAAAGAACAGUUCGGUGAUUGUAAACUUUAUUGCAAAAACAAUAAUUAAAUCCAAAUAAUAUUUGUUCAUGUAUCUGUCGUUUUUUUUAAACACCUAGUUUUUUUAAUUUAGGUCACCUAUUUAGAAAAUCCUAAUAAUAACCAACUGAUAUAGCAUAAAACAACCACAAAGUAACUCACAGACCACAUCAAUAAAUUUCAAACACACAGCAAAAAAAAAAAAACACAAGUAAAAAAGCAUAAUUCUUAAAUUAAAACAGAAAAAGCCGAAGAUAAUGUUGAAGCAAAGAUUCAUACCUGAAAUCAGUCUUCGAUGAAGCAGGGGUUACAAAAAUCGCAACAAAGAAACGGCAGAGAAAUAAUCCCACUGUAAUAUAAGUAAAAAAAAAUUGAUAUGAAACCAAAAUAAAAAUGAAAAGGCAAAGACAGACAAAGAAAAAGAUCAAGAUUCAUACCCCAAAAUCAGUCCCCGAUGAAGCAGGGGAUUUCAAAAACCACAAAAAACAGUGUAGCGAGUGUGUGUGUUUUGGCCUUUGGUUACCCAGAGCUAAAAAAAUGAGAGGAAAAAAAUUCAAAAGAGAUCGAGAGAGAGAAUCGAUAAAGAAAUGGGAGGAGAUUUGGGUUGAAGAGAUAUAUUUGAGGAUUUGUUAUGAAAGCAGAAGAAAUGAGGAAGAAAAUGAAAACAAAACAGGGAGACCGAGAGAGAUAGAAAGAAACGGCUAAUAAAUGCGUUUAUGAAGUGUUGUAGUUUAAGUGUAGGUUGAGCUUUAGGGUUUAGGGUUUAAUUUGGGUUUUUAUUUAAGUUUUGGGUUUGGUUUGAGAUUUUAAUUUUGGUUUUAGAUUAUUGAAAAUUUGUUGUGAGAAUUUUGACUCAUCACUUUAAUUUUUUUUACUUUUUUUAAAUUAAUUUCAUAUUUGACAAAAAUAAUUAUUUUUUAAAUGGCUCAAUAAUCCCUACAAUAUCAAGCCAGCAAGAAAAAAGAGAUUCUAGGAAACCUCAGACAGCCAGUCGAGUUGACAUCAAAAUAAAUUAAAUAUUCAGUCGGUAAUUCCAACUAUAAUAAUGAAAUCCUCAUUGGCUUCCACAAUCCAUCCAUUUAUAAAUUGUAAUCGCCGAAAACGGCUCCGUAGAUCACAAUGUUUCAGAUCCACUGGUUCCUAUCAGCAAGCGAAACAUGAAAUUUAUAUCGGUCCAAUCAUAGCAUCGCCGGUCACUGCUCUUGGCUACCGGCGACGUGGCAUCGGACCCAAAAAUGAUAGAUAAAAAAAAUCCAUUCAAAAGAAAACCCUCAGAGACCCGUUUCAAAUCACUCACACAGCGGAACACGCUUCGAGGAAGCACUCGCCUAAUUUCCCGGCCAACCAUCAAACACCUAAGAACAAAUAUCAGAGGGCUGAGAAUUGGCAGUUGGGAAGACGGGUAUGUUCCUUAGCGAGUUGCCGCCGCUGAUUAAAGUGUCAUACGGCACUUCCUAUCUAUGGGAAUUCUUCCUCACUGGGAUUUCAAACUAUAAAACACUUUUUCUUCUACAUUUCAAAACAAAUUUAAACCAAAACAAAAAAAAACAAAAAUAAAGAGUAAAAAAGAGAGUUCCGCAGAUAAACCCUAGAAUGACUUGUUCUUUUUAUUAUAUGGCGGAGAAACUUAGUAGGAUUUUAUAAAGAGGAACGGUGUUUAAAGAAACCCUAGAUCUCUAAAUUGAAAAUUUUAGAGAGAUUGAAAUUCAUCAAAUUGGGCUUAUUUUGGUGAUUUUAAAUAAAUCGAAAGGGAUUUUCAAGGCCCAAAAUGCUUGAUGUAGGAUGCUCCGACAAACUCCAUAUGCCUAAACUAUUGGUUUUAUUAAUCUGUUUCCAUCCAUUUUAAAAUAUAUAUAUAUUUAAUCUAUAAAUAUCAGAAUGUAAAAGUGAAUUAAAACAUAAUGAAAAUAUUUAUAAAAAAAAAUUGUUAAAAACAUUAUUAAAAGAAUUCAAAAUUUGCUCAGUUAUCCCUAAAUUUGACAUCCUACUUUUAUUGGUUGAAAACAAUUUGGAGUAAUUCCGAGUAUAUUAAACCUUCACCGGCCAAUUCAAUCCCAAACUAGUUUAAUCCCUAUCAAAUAAUAUGAUAUUAUUAUUCAUGUCUUAUUCGAUUACUUUAUAAAAAAAAAAACUAAAUCCAAACGCUUAUAAAAAUUUAUAAAUUUAAUCCACAAAUUGGUACUUAAAUUACAUAUUUUUUCUCAUCUUUAUACCUAAUCUUUUUAUAAUCUUUUUAUUUUAUUUUCAUCGAUAAAAUAAAAUAUUUAGAGAGGUUGAGUAAUUGGUUUCAUUAUUAUUAGGGGAGGGAACGGGCCUAUAUUCCUUUAGCGGAAUAAGAACGAAAAUUAACACAAAGAGUAAGAAAAAAUAUAAAACUAGAUCUUAAAUUCGAACUGCAGAAUAAGAACGAAUAUUAACACCAGUAAACUUAAAAAAUCCGAACCAGAUUCAAAAUAUUUUACUAAGAAAAAAAAUAAAACGAAUAAAAAUAGUAAUUUCUAAACCUGAAAACCAAAAACCAUAAAAUAAACCAAGAAAUAGAAAUAAAAAAGCAUAAUUCUUAAAUUAAAAACAGAAAACAGAAAAUACAAUGUUGAAGCAAUGAUUCGUACCUUAUGAAGCAAGGGAUUCCAAAAAUCUCAAAAAACAGAAACGGCACAAUGUCUUUGCAGUCCUUUAGGCGUCGGUUACAAAAAAGUUAAAAAACAUUAAAAGGAAAAUUUUAAAAUCAGACAGACAAAAUAAAAGAAAGAGUUAAGGGAAAAAAAUGGUUAGAAAAAAAAAGGAAAAUGAAAAGAGAAUAAACUAUUAAAAAAUACCUAUUAUCACAAGUCACAUUAACUGAGACUCCAAAAUCAUGCCAAUUCUCCCAGCCCAAAAAACUAGGACCAUUAUCUCGAAUAGCAAAAAACCAAUGACCCAAUAGAACUAGAACAAAACGAACAAAAAGCCAAUCCAAAAAAAACGAAACCUUCCCAUCUAAACAAACUACCCAAAACAGGAAUGAAAAUGCAAAAAGAUAAAUGGUAAGCAAAAAAACACAUAAUAGUCAAUAAAUUGACUAAAGUACAACUAUACAAACAUCAACAGAUUUGAAAAGAUGAACCAAAACAAUUUUUCAUAACGUUGAGAACCAAAAUAGUUGCUGGGAAUUGAGAUGUUUUAAUAAUUAAACUAAUCCUUUAAUAACCAAUUCUUCACAUUCUAAGUAAAUAUAUCUUUAAUAAAAAUUAAACUCUCCAUCACUAAUUUCUAAUUUGUAUAUUAUAAAUCGCAAAUAUAAUUAUUCUCUUCAUAAAAUCCGUUCCAUGAAAUAGAGGAUUAUCAAAUAUAUAUAUCUGCUCAAAAGACACGAAUUUUCUUCUCAUAGAUUUUUAAAAAAAUCUCUGAAGUCUGACAUGUGAAUUUAUUUCAUAAUUCAUCACAGCAGAAGUUUUAGAAUAAAGCAUUUUAACAAAAGAUCAAAUCAAAACAAUGUUCAAAAUUAGCUCUCAUUCUUUCUCUCAAAAUUUCUGCUCAUUUCUGCAAAUCGGAAUAGCGUAUAUUGCCCCAUAUUAGGCUCAAUAAUCAUAGAGCUAAUCAAAUUAAUUUCUCAACUUGGAUACACAAAUUGAAACUUCUAAUCCAAAAAUAGAAAAAAUAUUGCAAGUUGAAUUUUGAGAUCAGUGUUUGGUAAAAAAAUUUGUCUGUCACUGUUGAAUCAGAAACACGGACCAAUUAAACCUCAUCAUAUCUCAAAAUUUUAAAGAAAUUUACAACCAAAAAAAUGGAGAAUUUUUUAAUAAAUUUCAAUAAAUAAAUAAAACAAAGGAACGAUCAUCAGACUUAAAUACAAGUAAUCAUGGAAUAAAUCCAUUCAUAUUGUUGCAGUUUUUUUUUCUCAUCAACUGAUCGAUGACAAAUACAAUACGAAGGAAAGAAAUUUUCGGGGAAAUGAAAGCCAUAAACCAUAGAUCUGAAAGCUGAAAGGAAACGAAAUGAAACCUAGUUGUGAAGAAGAGGGGAAGGUGGCGAAAGUCUGGGUUUUCAUGGUAUUUAUAGAUCUAAUUGGGGAGGUCGCGCUAUAAACACUAGAUUGCAACGGCGGCGUUUACCACUGGGACUAGAGAAUUGAAAUGGGCUGAAUUGCUUAAUAAUUGAACCAUAGACAUUACAUUUAUAAUUGUUGAUAGUUCAUCUUCGACCAUUCUCCAAUCAGCUUUUAGCUUAUGAACCACAGUUUAAGCAUAAGGCAACCACUAAGUAGCUUAUUAACAAAUUAAAAGCUAAAAAAUUAAAUAUAAAUUGAAAUAAUAGUUUUUCCUUAAAUCUUUUUGCAAUAUUUCAGAAAAGAAAUUAAAAGAAAGAGGAAAAAGAACCUGGAGUUGAGAAGAGGGUUUGGUUUUCAAAUACAAACAAUCCCAUAGAGCACUCCAUUUUCCAUAGCAGUUAUCCAAAACUACUCCUCUAUAAUACUGUUGCAAUUGAUGAACCGGAGCUGCCCAACGAAUUAUUGAAUCAAUUCAUAUAAAAAGUUGAAAUUGGUAAAAAAAAAAUAGAAAAUAGAGAGAGGGUGGAAUACAAUAGCAAAACCAGAGAGCAUCGAAGCAUUUAGUGCAGGACAAGAACCCGAUCCAAAAACCACGAAACCAUCCCAUCUAAACAAACCACCCCAAAACAGGAAUGAAAAGGCAAAAAGAAAAAUGAUAAGCAAAAAAAUACAUAGUAGUCGAUAAACUGACUAAAGAACAACGAUACAAACAUCAACAGAUUUGGAAGGACAAACCAAAACAGUUUUUCUUAAAGCUGAGAACCAAAACUUUAACACUUCAGUUUACAGCAUUUAAACACUUCAAUUUGCAGCACUUUAACAUCUCAAUUAACAACAUUUAUACACCUCUAUCACAGCAAUAAAACAUCUCAUUUUCUAGCAACUAAACACUCGCUUUGGAUUUCACUCAAUAAUAUACUCCAAUGGACAUAUUAUAACGAGUCACUGGUUAGCCAUUUCAAGUUUCAAGAAUUCAAUAUUGUUUGGGACAUUUCGUCAAACAAUUCAUGAGUGUCCAAAUACCUAGAAGCACUGAAAGCCAAAGGAAGCGGGAAAGUACUAUAAAUGCAAAGGACAAAAAGCAAUAGAGAAAAAAAUCAAUGCCCUUGGAAACAACAGCGAAAACCUACUGCUCAUUCUUUAGCAUUUUUUUUCAGUCUCAUAAAAACCAUCAACUCAAUUUCCCUUCAUGUAAGGCUAGGUAACACGGAUGAAUAUAACCCUUUAUCUUUAACCAAAAUCCGAGUAUUUCACCACAUGUAUAUAUCAAUAAUCACAAAAAACUUCCUAUUCAGCUGAUAUACAGAGAUACCAUGGGUUUACCAAAAACUUCCAAUCAAAAUCCAUUCGCACAUCAUACCCAACAGAACACGAACAAUCCCAACUAUUUUAAAGAAAAUAUACCCAAUCCUUACUAAUAAAUGCAAGCACCUAGCAGUAUGAAAAAGAAAACAUAUAUGCAUACACGAAUCUUGACAAUCUCCACCGUAUAUGAUCAUGAAACCCAAAUCCAAAAAAAACCUUUGCAAUUAGCAAAUCGGUUGAAAUUCUACAAUUCUUCAAUCACUAUCAAUACUAACAAGCAUCCCAAUUAGAUUAUUAUUAUUUUUUAAAACUAAAGUACAUAUUUUUUAAAACUAAAGUACAUAUCAAGAAACAGAAUGUCCCAGUCUGGAAUCCUAUAUGCCGGUUUGGAUCGUUUAGUGGGUACUUCGCAUUUCUAUAAAGAAUGGAAAACUAUUGAAAUAAUUAUAUAUGCAUUAUUUAAAUUUCUGCAAAACAAUUAAUUAAAAUAUUUCUAAAAAUAUUCUUAUAAAUAUUAAAUUGGAUCCGACCUGGUUUAUCAUUUAAUAUAAAGGGGUUAAUAUAAAGAACAGUUCGGUGAUUGUAAACUUUAUUGAAAAAACAAUAAUUAAAUCCAAAUAAUAUUUGUUCAUGUAUCUGUCGUUUUUUUUAAACACCUACCUUUUUUAAUUUAGGUCACCUAUUUAGAAAAUCCUAAUAAUAACCAACUGAUAUAGCAUAAAACAACCACAAAGUAACUCACAGACCACAUCAAUAAAUUUCAAACACACAGCAAAAAAAAAACACAAGUAAAAAAGCAUAAUUCUUAAAUUAAAACAGAGAAAGCCGAAGAUAAUGUUGAAGCAAAGAUUCAUACCUGAAAUCAGUCUUCCAUGAAGCAGGGGUUACAAAAAUCGCAACAAAGAAACGGCAGAGAAAUAAUCCCACUGUAAUAUAAGUAAAAAAACAUUGAUAUGAAACCAAAAUAGAAAUGAAAAGGCAAAGACAGACAAAGACAAAGGUCGGGAUUCAUACCCCAAAAUUAGUCCCCGAUGAAGCAGGGGAUUUCAAAAACCACAAAAAACAGUGUAGCGAGUGUGUGUGUUUUGGCCUUUGGUUACCCAGAGCUAAAAAAAUGAGAGGAAAAAAAUUCAAAAGAGAUCGAGAGAGAGAAUCGAUAAAGAAAUGGGAGGAGAUUUGGGUUGAAGAGAUAUAUUUGAGGAUUUGUUAUGAAAGCAGAAGAAAUGAGGAAGAAAAUGAAAACAAAACAGGGAGACCGAGAGAGAUAGAAAGAAACGGCUAAUAAAUGGGUUUAUGUAGGGUUUAGGUUUCAAUUUGGGUUUUUAUUUGAGUUUUGGGUUCUGGUUUGAGAUUUCAAUUUUGAUUUUAGAUUAUUGAAAAUUUGUCGUCAGAAUUUUGACUCAUCACUUUAAUUUUUUUUACUUUUUUUAAAUUAAUUUCAUAUUUGACAAAAAUAAUUAUUUUUUAAACGGCUCAAUAAUUCCUACAAUAUCAAGCCAGCAAGAAAAAAGAGAUUGUAGGAAACCUCAGACAGCCAGUCGAGUUGACAUCAAAAUAAAUUAAAUAUUCAGUCGGUAAUUCCAACUAUAAUAAUGAAAUCCUCAUUGGCUUCCACAAUCCAUCCAUUUAUAAACUGUAAUCGCCGAAAACGGCUCCGUAGAUCACAAUGUUUCAGAUCCACUGGUUCCUAUCAGCAAGCGAAACAUGAAAUUUCUAUCGGUCCAAUCAUAGCAUCGCCGGUCACUGCUCUUGGCUACCGGCGACGUGGCAUCGGACCCAAAAAUGAUAGAUAAAAAAAAUCCAUUCAAAAGAAAACCCUCAGAGACCCAUUUCAAAUCACUCACACAGCGGAACACGCUUCGAGGAAGCACUCGCCUGAUUUCCCGGCCAACCAUCAAACACCUAAGAACAAAUAUCAGAGGGCUGAGAAUUGGCAGUUGGGAAGACGGGUAUGUUCCUUAGCGAGUUGCCGCCGCUGAUUAAAGUGUCAUACGGCACUUCCUAUCUAUGGGAAUUCUUCCUCACUGGGAUUUCAAACUAUAAAACACUUUUUCUUCUACAUUUCAAAACAAAUUUAAACCAAAACAAAAAAAAUACAAAAAUAAAGAGUAAAAAGGAGAGUUCCGCAGAUAAACCCUAGAAUGACUUGUUCUUUUUAUUAUAUGGCGGAGAAACUUAGUAGGAUUUUAUAAAGAGCAACGGUGUUUAAAGAAACCCUAGAUCUCUAAAUUGGAAAUUUUAGAGAGAUUGAAAUUCAUCAAAUUGGGCUUAUUUUGGUGAUUUUAAAUAAACCGAAAGGGAUUUUCAAGGCCCAAAAUGCUUGAUGUAGGAUGCUCCUACAAACUCCAUAUGCCUAAGCUAUUGGUUUUAUUAAUCUGUUUCCAUCCAUUUUAAAAUAUAUAUAUUUAAUCUAUAAAUAUCAGAAUGUAAAAAUGAAUUAAAACAUAAUGAAAAUAUUUAUAAAAAAAAAUUGUUAAAAACAUUAUUAAAAGAAUUCAAAAUUUGCUCAGUUAUCCCUAAAUUUGACAUCCUACUUUUGGUUGAAAACAAUUUGGAGUAAUUCCGAGUAUAUUAAACCUUCACCGGCCAAUUCAAUCCCAAACUAGUUUAAUCCUUAUCAAAUAAUAUGAUAUUAUUAUUCAUGUCUUAUUCGAUUACUUUAUAAAAAAAAACUAAAUCCAAACGCUUAUAAAAAUUUAUAAAUUUAAUCCUCAAAUUGGUACUUAAAUUAUAUAUUUUUUCUCAUCUUUAUACCUAAUCUUUUUAUUUUAUUUUCAUCAAUAAAAUAAAAUAUUUAGAGAGGUUGAGUAAUUGGUUUCAUUAUUAUUAGGGGAGGGAACGGGCCUAUAUCCCUUUAGCGGAAUAAGAACAAAAAUUAACACAAGGAGGAAGAAAAAAUAUAAAACUAGAUCUUAAAUUCGAACUGCAGAAUAAGAACGAAUAUUAACACCAGUAAACUUAAAAAAUCCGAACCAGAUUCAAAAUAUUUUACUAAGAAAAAAAAUAAAACGAAUAAAAAUAGUAAUUUCUAAACCUGAAAACCAAAAACCAUAAAAUAAACCAAGAAAUAGAAAUAAAAAAGCAUAAUUCUUAAAUUAAAAACAGAAAACAGAAAAUACAAUGUUGAAGCAAUGAUUCGUACCUUAUGAAGCAAGGGAUUCCAAAAAUCUCAAAAAACAGAAACGGCACAAUGUCUUUGCAGUCCUUUAGGCGUCGGUUACAAAAAAGUUAAAAAACAUUAAAAGGAAAAUUUUAAAAUGAGACAGACAAAAUAAAAGAAAGAGUAAAGGGAAAAAAAAUGGUUAGAAAAAAAAAGGAAAAUGAAAAGAGAAUAAACUAUUAAAAAAUACCUAUUAUCACAAGUCACAUUAACUGAGACUCCAAAAUCAUGCCAAUUCUCCCAGCCCAAAAAACUAGGACCAUUAUCUCGAAUAGCAAAAAACCAAUGACCCAAUAGAACUAGAACAAAACGAACAAAAAGCCAAUCCAAAAAAAACGAAACCUUCCCAUCUAAACAAACUACCCAAAACAGGAAUGAAAAUGCAAAAAGAUAAAUGAUAAGCAAAAAAACACAUAAUAGUCGAUAAAUUGACUAAAGUACAACUAUACAAACAUCAACAGAUUUGAAAAGAUGAACCAAAACAAUUUUUCAUAACGUUGAGAACCAAAAUAGUUGCUGGGAAUUGAGAUGUUUUAAUAAUUCAACUAAUCCUUUAAUAACCAAUCCUUCACAUUUUAAGUAAAUAUAUCUUUAAUAAAAAUUAAACUCUCCAUCACUAAUUUCUAAUUUGUAUAUUAUACAUCGCAAAUAUAAUUAUUCUCUUCAUAAAAUCCGUUCCAUAAAAUAGAGGAUUAUCAAAAAUAUAUAUAUCUGCUCAGAAGACACGAAUUUUCUUCUCAUAGAUUUUUAAAAAAAUCUCUGAAGUCUGACAUGUGAAUUUAUUUCAUAAUUCAUCACAGCAGAAGUUUUAGAAUAAAGCAUUUUAACAAAAGAUCAAAUCAAAACAAUGUUCAAAAUUAGCUCUCAUUCUUUCUCUCAAAAUUUCUGCUCAUUUCUGCAAAUCAAUAUUGCCCAUAUUAGGCUCAAUAAUCAUAGAGCUAAUCAAAUUAAUUUCUCAACUUGGAUACACAAAUUGAAACUUCUAAUCCAAAAAUAGAAAAAAUAUUGCAAGUUGAAUUUUGAGAUCAGAGUUUGGUAAAAAAAUUUGUCUGUCACUGUUGAAUCAGAAACACGGACCAAUUAAACCUCAUCAAAUCUCAAAAUUUUAAAGAAAUUUACAACCAAAAAAAUGGAGAAUUUUUUAAUAAAUUUCAAUAAAUAAAUAAAACAAAGGAAUGAUCAUCAGACUUAAAUACAAGUAAUCAUGGAAUAAAUCCAUUCAUAUUGUUGCAGUUUUUUUUUCUCAUCAACUGAUCGAUGACAAAUACAAUACGAAGGAAAGAAAUUUUCGGGGAAAUGAAAGCCAUAAACCAUAGAUCUGAAAGCUGAAAGGAAACGAAAUGAAACCUAGUUGUGAAGAAGAGGGGAAGGUGGCGAAAGUCUGGGUUUUCAUGGUAUUUAUAGAUCUAAUUGGGGAGGUCGCGCUAUAAACACUAGAUUGCAACGGCGGCGUUUACCACUGGGACUAGAGAAUUGAAAUGGGCUGAAUUGCUUAAUAAUUGAACCAUAGACAUUACAUUUAUAAUUGUUGAUAGUUCAUCUUCGACCAUUCUCCAAUCAGCUUUUAGCUUAUGAACCACAGUUUAAGCAUAAGGCAACCACUAAGUAGCUUAUUAACAAAUUAAAAGCUAAAAAAUUAAAUAUAAAUUGAAAUAAUAGUUUUUCCUUAAAUCUUUUUGCAAUAUUUCAGAAAAGAAAUUAAAAGAAAGAGGAAAAAGAACCUGGAGUUGAGAAGAGGGUUUGGUUUUCAAAUACAAACAAUCCCAUAGAGCACUCCAUUUUCCAUAGCAGUUAUCCAAAACUACUCCUCUAUAAUACUGUUGCAAUUGAUGAACCGGAGCUGCCCAACGAAUUAUUGAAUCAAUUCAUAUAAAAAGUUGAAAUUGGUAAAAAAAAAAAAUAGAAAAUAGAGAGAGGGUGGAAUACAAUAGCAAAACCAGAGAGCAUCGAAGCAUUUAGUGCAGGACAAGAACCCGAUCCAAAAACCACGAAACCAUCCCAUCUAAACAAACCACCCCAAAACAGGAAUGAAAAGGCAAAAAGAAAAAUGAUAAGCAAAAAAAUACAUAGUAGUCGAUAAACUGACUAAAGAACAACGAUACAAACAUCAACAGAUUUGGAAGGACAAACCAAAACAGUUUUUCUUAAAGCUGAGAACCAAAACUUUAACACUUCAGUUUACAGCAUUUAAACACUUCAAUUUGCAGCACUUUAACAUCUCAAUUAACAACAUUUAUACACCUCUAUCACAGCAAUAAAACAUCUCAUUUUCUAGCAACUAAACACUCGCUUUGGAUUUCACUCAAUAAUAUACUCCAAUGGACAUAUUAUAACGAGUCACUGGUUAGCCAUUUCAAGUUUCAAGAAUUCAAUAUUGUUUGGGACAUUUCGUCAAACAAUUCAUGAGUGUCCAAAUACCUAGAAGCACUGAAAGCCAAAGGAAGCGGGAAAGUACUAUAAAUGCAAAGGACAAAAAGCAAUAGAGAAAAAAAUCAAUGCCCUUGGAAACAACAGCGAAAACCUACUGCUCAUUCUUUAGCAUUUUUUUUCAGUCUCAUAAAAACCAUCAACUCAAUUUCCCUUCAUGUAAGGCUAGGUAACACGGAUGAAUAUAACCCUUUAUCUUUAACCAAAAUCCGAGUAUUUCACCACAUGUAUAUCAAUAAUCACAAAAAACUUCCUAUUCAGCUGAUAUACAGAGAUACCAUGGGUUUACCAAAAACUUCCAAUCAAAAUCCAUUCGCACAUCAUACCCAACAGAACACGAACAAUCCCAACUAUUUUAAAGAAAAUAUACCCAAUCCUUACUAAUAAAUGCAAGCACCUAGCAGUAUGAAAAAGAAAACAUAUAUGCAUACACGAAUCUUGACAAUCUCCACCGUAUAUGAUCAUGAAACCCAAAUCCAAAAAAAACCUUUGCAAUUAGCAAAUCGGUUGAAAUUCUACAAUUCUUCAAUCACUAUCAAUACUAACAAGCAUCCCAAUUAGAUUAUUAUUAUUUUUUAAAACUAAAGUACAUAUUUUUUAAAACUAAAGUACAUAUCAAGAAACAGAAUGUCCCAGUCUGGAAUCCUAUAUGCCGGUUUGGAUCGUUUAGUGGGUACUUCGCAUUUCUAUAAAGAAUGGAAAACUAUUGAAAUAAUUAUAUAUGCAUUAUUUAAAUUUCUGCAAAACAAUUAAUUAAAAUAUUUCUAAAAAUAUUCUUAUAAAUAUUAAAUUGGAUCCGACCUGGUUUAUCAUUUAAUAUAAAGGGGUUAAUAUAAAGAACAGUUCGGUGAUUGUAAACUUUAUUGAAAAAACAAUAAUUAAAUCCAAAUAAUAUUUGUUCAUGUAUCUGUCGUUUUUUUUAAACACCUACCUUUUUUAAUUUAGGUCACCUAUUUAGAAAAUCCUAAUAAUAACCAACUGAUAUAGCAUAAAACAACCACAAAGUAACUCACAGACCACAUCAAUAAAUUUCAAACACACAGCAAAAAAAAAACACAAGUAAAAAAGCAUAAUUCUUAAAUUAAAACAGAGAAAGCCGAAGAUAAUGUUGAAGCAAAGAUUCAUACCUGAAAUCAGUCUUCGAUGAAGCAGGGGUUACAAAAAUCGCAACAAAGAAACGGCAGAGAAAUAAUCCCACUGUAAUAUAAGUAAAAAAACAUUGAUAUGAAACCAAAAUAGAAAUGAAAAGGCAAAGACAGACAAAGACAAAGGUCGGGAUUCAUACCCCAAAAUUAGUCCCCGAUGAAGCAGGGGAUUUCAAAAACCACAAAAAACAGUGUAGCGAGUGUGUGUGUUUUGGCCUUUGGUUACCCAGAGCUAAAAAAAUGAGAGGAAAAAAAUUCAAAAGAGAUCGAGAGAGAGAAUCGAUAAAGAAAUGGGAGGAGAUUUGGGUUGAAGAGAUAUAUUUGAGGAUUUGUUAUGAAAGCAGAAGAAAUGAGGAAGAAAAUGAAAACAAAACAGGGAGACCGAGAGAGAUAGAAAGAAACGGCUAAUAAAUGGGUUUAUGUAGGGUUUAGGUUUCAAUUUGGGUUUUUAUUUGAGUUUUGGGUUCUGGUUUGAGAUUUCAAUUUUGAUUUUAGAUUAUUGAAAAUUUGUCGUCAGAAUUUUGACUCAUCACUUUAAUUUUUUUUACUUUUUUUAAAUUAAUUUCAUAUUUGACAAAAAUAAUUAUUUUUUAAACGGCUCAAUAAUUCCUACAAUAUCAAGCCAGCAAGAAAAAAGAGAUUGUAGGAAACCUCAGACAGCCAGUCGAGUUGACAUCAAAAUAAAUUAAAUAUUCAGUCGGUAAUUCCAACUAUAAUAAUGAAAUCCUCAUUGGCUUCCACAAUCCAUCCAUUUAUAAACUGUAAUCGCCGAAAACGGCUCCGUAGAUCACAAUGUUUCAGAUCCACUGGUUCCUAUCAGCAAGCGAAACAUGAAAUUUCUAUCGGUCCAAUCAUAGCAUCGCCGGUCACUGCUCUUGGCUACCGGCGACGUGGCAUCGGACCCAAAAAUGAUAGAUAAAAAAAAUCCAUUCAAAAGAAAACCCUCAGAGACCCAUUUCAAAUCACUCACACAGCGGAACACGCUUCGAGGAAGCACUCGCCUGAUUUCCCGGCCAACCAUCAAACACCUAAGAACAAAUAUCAGAGGGCUGAGAAUUGGCAGUUGGGAAGACGGGUAUGUUCCUUAGCGAGUUGCCGCCGCUGAUUAAAGUGUCAUACGGCACUUCCUAUCUAUGGGAAUUCUUCCUCACUGGGAUUUCAAACUAUAAAACACUUUUUCUUCUACAUUUCAAAACAAAUUUAAACCAAAACAAAAAAAAAUACAAAAAUAAAGAGUAAAAAGGAGAGUUCCGCAGAUAAACCCUAGAAUGACUUGUUCUUUUUAUUAUAUGGCGGAGAAACUUAGUAGGAUUUUAUAAAGAGCAACGGUGUUUAAAGAAACCCUAGAUCUCUAAAUUGGAAAUUUUAGAGAGAUUGAAAUUCAUCAAAUUGGGCUUAUUUUGGUGAUUUUAAAUAAACCGAAAGGGAUUUUCAAGGCCCAAAAUGCUUGAUGUAGGAUGCUCCUACAAACUCCAUAUGCCUAAGCUAUUGGUUUUAUUAAUCUGUUUCCAUCCAUUUUAAAAUAUAUAUAUAUUUAAUCUAUAAAUAUCAGAAUGUAAAAAUGAAUUAAAACAUAAUGAAAAUAUUUAUAAAAAAAAUUUGUUAAAAACAUUAUUAAAAGAAUUCAAAAUUUGCUCAGUUAUCCCUAAAUUUGACAUCCUACUUUUGGUUGAAAACAAUUUGGAGUAAUUCCGAGUAUAUUAAACCUUCACCGGCCAAUUCAAUCCCAAACUAGUUUAAUCCUUAUCAAAUAAUAUGAUAUUAUUAUUCAUGUCUUAUUCGAUUACUUUAUAAAAAAAAACUAAAUCCAAACGCUUAUAAAAAUUUAUAAAUUUAAUCCUCAAAUUGGUACUUAAAUUAUAUAUUUUUUCUCAUCUUUAUACCUAAUCUUUUUAUUUUAUUUUCAUCAAUAAAAUAAAAUAUUUAGAGAGGUUGAGUAAUUGGUUUCAUUAUUAUUAGGGGAGGGAACGGGCCUAUAUCCCUUUAGCGGAAUAAGAACAAAAAUUAACACAAGGAGGAAGAAAAAAUAUAAAACUAGAUCUUAAAUUCGAACUGCAGAAUAAGAACGAAUAUUAACACCAGUAAACUUAAAAAAUCCGAACCAGAUUCAAAAUAUUUUACUAAGAAAAAAAAUAAAACGAAUAAAAAUAGUAAUUUCUAAACCUGAAAACCAAAAACCAUAAAAUAAACCAAGAAAUAGAAAUAAAAAAGCAUAAUUCUUAAAUUAAAAACAGAAAACAGAAAAUACAAUGUUGAAGCAAUGAUUCGUACCUUAUGAAGCAAGGGAUUCCAAAAAUCUCAAAAAACAGAAACGGCACAAUGUCUUUGCAGUCCUUUAGGCGUCGGUUACAAAAAAGUUAAAAAACAUUAAAAGGAAAAUUUUAAAAUGAGACAGACAAAAUAAAAGAAAGAGUAAAGGGAAAAAAAAUGGUUAGAAAAAAAAAGGAAAAUGAAAAGAGAAUAAACUAUUAAAAAAUACCUAUUAUCACAAGUCACAUUAACUGAGACUCCAAAAUCAUGCCAAUUCUCCCAGCCCAAAAAACUAGGACCAUUAUCUCGAAUAGCAAAAAACCAAUGACCCAAUAGAACUAGAACAAAACGAACAAAAAGCCAAUCCAAAAAAAACGAAACCUUCCCAUCUAAACAAACUACCCAAAACAGGAAUGAAAAUGCAAAAAGAUAAAUGGUAAGCAAAAAAACACAUAAUAGUCGAUAAAUUGACUAAAGUACAACUAUACAAACAUCAACAGAUUUGAAAAGAUGAACCAAAACAAUUUUUCAUAACGUUGAGAACCAAAAUAGUUGCUGGGAAUUGAGAUGUUUUAAUAAUUCAACUAAUCCUUUAAUAACCAAUCCUUCACAUUUUAAGUAAAUAUAUCUUUAAUAAAAAUUAAACUCUCCAUCACUAAUUUCUAAUUUGUAUAUUAUACAUCGCAAAUAUAAUUAUUCUCUUCAUAAAAUCCGUUCCAUAAAAUAGAGGAUUAUCAAAAAUAUGUAUAUCUGCUCAGAAGACACGAAUUUUCUUCUCAUAGAUUUUUAAAAAAAUCUCUGAAGUCUGACAUGUGAAUUUAUUUCAUAAUUCAUCACAGCAGAAGUUUUAGAAUAAAGCAUUUUAACAAAAGAUCAAAUCAAAACAAUGUUCAAAAUUAGCUCUCAUUCUUUCUCUCAAAAUUUCUGCUCAUUUCUGCAAAUCAAUAUUGCCCAUAUUAGGCUCAAUAAUCAUAGAGCUAAUCAAAUUAAUUUCUCAACUUGGAUACACAAAUUGAAACUUCUAAUCCAAAAAUAGAAAAAAUAUUGCAAGUUGAAUUUUGAGAUCAGAGUUUGGUAAAAAAAUUUGUCUGUCACUGUUGAAUCAGAAACACGGACCAAUUAAACCUCAUCAAAUCUCAAAAUUUUAAAGAAAUUUACAACCAAAAAAAUGGAGAAUUUUUUAAUAAAUUUCAAUAAAUAAAUAAAACAAAGGAACGAUCAUCAGACUUAAAUACAAGUAAUCAUGGAAUAAAUCCAUUCAUAUUGUUGCAGUUUUUUUUUCUCAUCAACUGAUCGAUGACAAAUACAAUACGAAGGAAAGAAAUUUUCGGGGAAAUGAAAGCCAUAAACCAUAGAUCUGAAAGCUGAAAGGAAACGAAAUGAAACCUAGUUGUGAAGAAGAGGGGAAGGUGGCGAAAGUCUGGGUUUUCAUGGUAUUUAUAGAUCUAAUUGGGGAGGUCGCGCUAUAAACACUAGAUUGCAACGGCGGCGUUUACCACUGGGACUAGAGAAUUGAAAUGGGCUGAAUUGCUUAAUAAUUGAACCAUAGACAUUACAUUUAUAAUUGUUGAUAGUUCAUCUUCGACCAUUCUCCAAUCAGCUUUUAGCUUAUGAACCACAGUUUAAGCAUAAGGCAACCACUAAGUAGCUUAUUAACAAAUUAAAAGCUAAAAAAUUAAAUAUAAAUUGAAAUAAUAGUUUUUCCUUAAAUCUUUUUGCAAUAUUUCAGAAAAGAAAUUAAAAGAAAGAGGAAAAAGAACCUGGAGUUGAGAAGAGGGUUUGGUUUUCAAAUACAAACAAUCCCAUAGAGCACUCCAUUUUCCAUAGCAGUUAUCCAAAACUACUCCUCUAUAAUACUGUUGCAAUUGAUGAACCGGAGCUGCCCAACGAAUUAUUGAAUCAAUUCAUAUAAAAAGUUGAAAUUGGUAAAAAAAAAAAUAGAAAAUAGAGAGAGGGUGGAAUACAAUAGCAAAACCAGAGAGCAUCGAAGCAUUUAGUGCAGGACAAGAACCCGAUCCAAAAACCACGAAACCAUCCCAUCUAAACAAACCACCCCAAAACAGGAAUGAAAAGGCAAAAAGAAAAAUGAUAAGCAAAAAAAUACAUAGUAGUCGAUAAACUGACUAAAGAACAACGAUACAAACAUCAACAGAUUUGGAAGGACAAACCAAAACAGUUUUUCUUAAAGCUGAGAACCAAAACUUUAACACUUCAGUUUACAGCAUUUAAACACUUCAAUUUGCAGCACUUUAACAUCUCAAUUAACAACAUUUAUACACCUCUAUCACAGCAAUAAAACAUCUCAUUUUCUAGCAACUAAACACUCGCUUUGGAUUUCACUCAAUAAUAUACUCCAAUGGACAUAUUAUAACGAGUCACUGGUUAGCCAUUUCAAGUUUCAAGAAUUCAAUAUUGUUUGGGACAUUUCGUCAAACAAUUCAUGAGUGUCCAAAUACCUAGAAGCACUGAAAGCCAAAGGAAGCGGGAAAGUACUAUAAAUGCAAAGGACAAAAAGCAAUAGAGAAAAAAAUCAAUGCCCUUGGAAACAACAGCGAAAACCUACUGCUCAUUCUUUAGCAUUUUUUUUCAGUCUCAUAAAAACCAUCAACUCAAUUUCCCUUCAUGUAAGGCUAGGUAACACGGAUGAAUAUAACCCUUUAUCUUUAACCAAAAUCCGAGUAUUUCACCACAUGUAUAUAUCAAUAAUCACAAAAAACUUCCUAUUCAGCUGAUAUACAGAGAUACCAUGGGUUUACCAAAAACUUCCAAUCAAAAUCCAUUCGCACAUCAUACCCAACAGAACACGAACAAUCCCAACUAUUUUAAAGAAAAUAUACCCAAUCCUUACUAAUAAAUGCAAGCACCUAGCAGUAUGAAAAAGAAAACAUAUAUGCAUACACGAAUCUUGACAAUCUCCACCGUAUAUGAUCAUGAAACCCAAAUCCAAAAAAAACCUUUGCAAUUAGCAAAUCGGUUGAAAUUCUACAAUUCUUCAAUCACUAUCAAUACUAACAAGCAUCCCAAUUAGAUUAUUAUUAUUUUUUAAAACUAAAGUACAUAUUUUUUAAAACUAAAGUACAUAUCAAGAAACAGAAUGUCCCAGUCUGGAAUCCUAUAUGCCGGUUUGGAUCGUUUAGUGGGUACUUCGCAUUUCUAUAAAGAAUGGAAAACUAUUGAAAUAAUUAUAUAUGCAUUAUUUAAAUUUCUGCAAAACAAUUAAUUAAAAUAUUUCUAAAAAUAUUCUUAUAAAUAUUAAAUUGGAUCCGACCUGGUUUAUCAUUUAAUAUAAAGGGGUUAAUAUAAAGAACAGUUCGGUGAUUGUAAACUUUAUUGAAAAAACAAUAAUUAAAUCCAAAUAAUAUUUGUUCAUGUAUCUGUCGUUUUUUUAAACACCUACCUUUUUUAAUUUAGGUCACCUAUUUAGAAAAUCCUAAUAAUAACCAACUGAUAUAGCAUAAAACAACCACAAAGUAACUCACAGACCACAUCAAUAAAUUUCAAACACACAGCAAAAAAAAACACAAGUAAAAAAGCAUAAUUCUUAAAUUAAAACAGAGAAAGCCGAAGAUAAUGUUGAAGCAAAGAUUCAUACCUGAAAUCAGUCUUCGAUGAAGCAGGGGUUACAAAAAUCGCAACAAAGAAACGGCAGAGAAAUAAUCCCACUGUAAUAUAAGUAAAAAAACAUUGAUAUGAAACCAAAAUAGAAAUGAAAAGGCAAAGACAGACAAAGACAAAGGUCAGGAUUCAUACCCCAAAAUUAGUCCCCGAUGAAGCAGGGGAUUUCAAAAACCACAAAAAACAGUGUAGCGAGUGUGUGUGUUUUGGCCUUUGGUUACCCAGAGCUAAAAAAAUGAGAGGAAAAAAAUUCAAAAGAGAUCGAGAGAGAGAAUCGAUAAAGAAAUGGGAGGAGAUUUGGGUUGAAGAGAUAUAUUUGAGGAUUUGUUAUGAAAGCAGAAGAAAUGAGGAAGAAAAUGAAAACAAAACAGGGAGACCGAGAGAGAUAGAAAGAAACGGCUAAUAAAUGGGUUUAUGAGGGGAAGGUGGCGAAAGUCUGGGUUUUCAUGGUAUUUAUAGAUCUAAUUGGGGAGGUCGCGCAAUAAACCCUAGAUUGCAACGGCGGCAUUUACCACUGGGACUAGAGAAUUGAAAUGGGCUGAAUUGCUUAAUAGUUGAAAACGGAUCGAACAGUUUUCUUGUCCUUUAAAAUUCCAGCUCUUCCUUUAUGGGCUGAGUUUAGAUUUUGGGCUUUUUCUUUCGUUUUUUUUUUCUAACAUGUGUGGUGUAGGGGUAUUAUUGCCAAUGCAAGAGUACGUAAGUUCGAGUGUGUUGAAACAUAUUACCUUUUUAUUUGUAGGUUAAGAAAGGACUAUAAAUAAUUUUAGACAUUAUAUUAAAAAGAAUAAAUAUAAUCAAGUAAUGAAAUUGUUAAAAGAAAAUCAAAACUAUUUUUUUUAGAACAAAAGGAAUGCAAGUAAGGGAAUACAUAAGAAAUUGUUUUUCAAAAAACUGAUUAAGAUAAUUAUAAAAACAAAAAAUUCACAUCAAUUUCAUCCUAUAUAUUGAAUCUCUCCAAUGGCUAUGUGGAGAUGAUGAAGCAAACUGUCAUCAGUCGAUGUUGGCUGAAAUUUUACAAGUAGAUUAUUAACUAAAACCCCAAUUGAUUUUAACAUUUUGGUAAAGUUUCAUCUUUUAUUUUUAUAUAAUAUAUAAUAAUUAUUUAAUUUAUUUAUAUUUAAUUAUAUGUGUUUGAGAAUCAAAUUGAUAAAUUGUGUAAAUAUCAAGGACUAAAUAUGUUAUUAUACUAGUUAAAAAAGACAAUGUCAUUUAAUGGAAAGUGACUAAAAUAGAAACGAUCUAAAACGUCAGUGAGUACAACGUCGUAGAACAGCUGCACAAACAGCCAGCACGCAUAUCUGUAUUAGCUUUGCUUCAGAGUUCGGAGUACAUAAAAAUACACUAAUGAAGGUUUUAAAGGAGACGUCUGUGGCCAAUGAUAUCUCAAUUAGUACAUUAGACCGGCUAGUCAACAAUAUAAGUGCUGAUAACUUCAUUUACUUCAAUGAUAAUGAAAUUCCGCCAGGGGGCAGAGGAUCCACUAAAGCUUUACAUAUUACUACUUGAUGCAAAUGGUACACAUUGCUAGGGGUAUUGGUAAACAAUGGGUCAGCAUUAAAUGUAUUGCCUUUAUCCAUAUUGAACAGAUUACCUGUGGAUAGUUCACACAUGAAAGAGUGCCAGAACAUAGUGAAGGCAUUUGAUGGCACGCAAAGAAGAGUCAUGAGGAGAAUUGAGAUACCCUUAUUAAUUGGCCCAACUACUUAUGAGGUGGAUUUCUUGGUCAUGGAUAUUAAGCCCUCAUAUAACUGCUUACUAGAAAGACCAUGGAUACAUUCAGCAGGGCUAGUGCCUUCAUCCCUACAUCAGAAGUUGAAGCUAGUAUCAGAAGGGCGGCUGGUGACAAUAAACGCCGAAGAGGAUAUCAUCGCGGCUGUGACUAGCGAUGCGCCGUAUCUAGAGACGAGUGACGAGGAAAUUGAAUGUUCUUUUCAGUCUUUGGAGUUCGUGAAUGCAACCUUCAUUACGAAAGAAAAUAGAAUCCCGGUGUCGAAAAUCUCUAAAACCAUAAGAAUGGGAUUACAUAUGAUGGUAGGAAAAGGAGCUUUGCCAGGAAGAGGGCUUGAAAAACACCUUCAGUGCAGAAUAGUGGCCCCGGUACUGAAAGAAAAGCAGGAUCAUUUUGGCUUAGGAUUCAAGCCAGAUUUAAGGCAAAGAAUAAAAGAUUUGGAAAGGAGGCAAGAAAGAAGAAGGGCUCGUUUGAGUGGUGAAGAAAUUAAGUGGGAACUCAUGAUAAUUCCACAUAUAUCUAAGUCCUUUGUGUCGAGAGGGGUUAUUCAUGCUGAGCAGAAAGCGCGAAAGAAGGGAGACAUCGUAGCAAUGUGGGACUUGCAGUACUGGACUUGCAAGGGGAGAUUUUGAUUUCUGGAAAUGGAAUUGAAGUUGUACAGAUUAUGAAAACUUACAUUCAAUUCAUCACCUUUUGAUUAAAACCAACGCCAAACCAAACCCACCUUCACCCAAAUCCUAUACAUCAAUCAAAAUAUAAAAUAAAUAACCCAAAACCAUAAUAAUCCCAUAAGAAAAACCAAGUUUUGUUUUUGGAAAAAAGCUUUAAAAAAUGAAAAUAUUAUGAAUUGAAUAAUAAACCCCGAAUUUCAUUCAACAACUUUCAAUCAAAGGUAGCACCAAGCCAAACGCUCCCUCGCUCAAAUCCCACAACAUCCAACAAAGUCAGAAUAAUAAAACAAUAACCCAAAACUAGAAUAAUCUCAUAUUAAAAACCAAACGAACUUGAAACAACUAAAAAAACAAAAAUAAACAAUGUCUCACCCACUGUCGAUUAACGAAGACUUUGUUGGAAAGGUGCAUUCUUUGACAAUGCCCUUAUAGUGGAAGAAGAUGUUGAAUUCUAGGUUUCUGGUUAGAAAUUCAAUGGGUUUGGGGGAGUUCCUUGGAAAUCUAGUCUGAUCAAAGGGAAGAGGGGAAGGAGAGGAUCAUUUCGGAAAGGAGCAGUAAGCCAGAAAAUCACUGGCGUCGGUAGAACAAAGAUACGGCUAGGAGAUUUGAGGUUGAGAGAGUUUAGUAUUGUAUUUUGUUUAAGAAUUGAUUUAGUUAGAAGAGAUAAUAUGAUUGUUUAGUUUUUAAAGCUAAUGAUAAAGUUUAGGGAUAAUGCAAGACAAAUGGUUUAAAAACAAUUAGAAAAUAAAUUAAAUACUAGACUAGCAGCUAUAACUAUUAAAUGUAGAAAUUUGAUUCGACAAUAGAAAUACAAUAAUACAAAUUGAAAUAAACCAAAUAAAAAUAAUAAUAGAAAAGGUAAAGACAAGGCUCCCUCCCUGUGUAUGGAUGGCUAUAUCAUGGUAUAAUUAGAGAAACGAAUCAUCAAUCUGUGCAUGGUUUCUGGAUAAAACUUUCUUGUAAAUAAAUAACAAGGUCUCUUCAUUGAAUUCCACAAGCAUGGCCCAUUUAUCCCUCUCCUCUGCACCAACAAACACCACACCUAUUUGUUCCUUCUUUCUUCCAAACAAACAUGCAUAAAAUCUCAAAUUCAAAACAAAAUACAGUAGGAAACAUUUUUUGACCUUUGGACUACUUGUGAAAUGUAUGCUUUCCUCAAUGAAUUGCACAGUAAAUCAAACACCAGUUUCAAAGUUUGUACCAACAAACUCACAUUUGGGAAUGUAUAUAUAGAUGGACGUACCGUAAGGUUCUUGAGGAACUCAAAUGUUAUAUCUUGGGCCCUAAAUGCUCUAGGAUGUCACUUCCCUUUUGACCAAUCUACAUACGUUACUGACCUAUUUGCGACUCCACUAGAAUUAGUCAUUUGUUGUAUAUAAAAAUAAUUGUUUUCACGACGUCACUUCUAUAUAUAGUAAGUAUUGAUACCAUAAAAAAAAGUCUGAGGUACCAACAUUAAAAAAAGUUGGCAAAUAAUUCCUGUCUGAAUAGCAAUUGCGUCUAUCCAUAUGUGGCUGACACAACAACAUAAGAUUUUUGUUAACGAAGCGGCACCCAUCAGGAUUUAUUUUUGAUUUAAAUUAAAAAAUGAAAAGUAUUACAAGUUUAAUAAUAGAAACUGAUAGGCAAGCAACAUUCUAAGGUUAUAUAGUUACUUCAUUAUAGCAACAAAGUAGCUUUGCUCAACAAUUACCUUGCAAUAAUUCUUGAAUUUUCUGUAAUAUAGGUUGUUCGCCAUAACUAUUAUGGCAUGCUGACACUUCAUGUUGAACCACUAAAAUGAAAUAUGAAUCAAAACCAACUAAAAGUAUAAGAAACAUCAUUGCCAUGUUUUAUUUUUUUGCAAAAAAAAAAACUAUUACAAAAGGUCCAUGAAAACAUAUUCAGGCAAAACCUUACAAUCUCUUGCCAGAAAAUAUUGUUAAAACUAAACACUUACAGCUAUUUAUCUACUCGGCACAAUAAGCUACUAUGGCAGUUAAUCAUAAUAAUUUUUAAAAGACAGGGAAUAGGACUUUACAACUACACAAAUCCAUGAAAAGACAUCCACCAUAGUCAAUUGUCAUAUUCUACUUACAAAAUACAUAGGUAGUUAUCUUAGAAACUAUUUGCUGGCUUAAAUUAUAAAUUUAGAAGUUGCAUGCCAUAAAAUCAUAGAAAUUAAGACAUGAUCAUUUCAUUAUGCACAACGCAAACCUUACCCUAACAAGUAAUUGCACAACUAUCUAUGGUUUGGACUAUAAAUUUUACCGAGAGAAAAGUAGAGUAAUACAUGACGGCAUCCUUACUAAAAAGGUAACUAUGAGGAAUAUAAGAUCCACUAUAAGGUGCUUUUUAUUAUUAUAAUAAUGAUGAUUAAAAUUUAGAUAAGGAUUAUGUAUUAGAUAAAACCAAUGAUGUGGACAUAAAUGGUUGAUGCAUAAAAUAUAGUUUAGAAAAGGAUUUCUAAUAAAAAUAUGUAUUACAUCUUUUGUUUAAGCCUAAACAAUCGAGCUUGUUCUUAUAUUUCUCUCUUCUUUUAUGUUUCCCUCUCUAAACUUUUUCUUUGAUUCUUCUAUCCCUUCCAAGAAUUUGGUGUCAAGAACCUUAUAUGAUCUUAAAGGGCUUACAAAUCUUUAAGAGUUGAGUAAGAAGUUAGCUAGCAUUUGUCAACACCAAAUGGUUUAAGAUUGUUGAUUUUUGCCUCCACCACCUACCUUUUUAAGUGAAAACAAAUAAAUAUAGGCUGCCAACAUGAAGACUUAUCUGAAUGUUUUUUAUCUUUACAAUGUGGUUGGAAAUGAAAGAAAGAACACUAACUUUUGGUCAAUCCAUUUAUAACUCAGACAAAGAAUCAUAGCAAGAAAAGGAAAAGAGAUAUAAAGUCAAAAGUUGUAACAAAUCAUCCGUUCUAAAGAAAAAUUUAAUUAGAAUCAUAAUAUGACAUGUUCAUGGAGGACUUCCAUGGUAAUAACUAGACAAAUACAAGUGCUUAACCUCAAAAGAUAAUUUUAAGUUUUAAAGACGAAAAAGACUGAAACUUUGAAAGAGUACAAAGACAGACUCAUAAAUAUAAUGAAGAAGCUCAAAUUACUAGGGAGAGGAGAUGAAAGACAAAAGAGUUGUAAACUUGAAGACAUCAAAUACUUGACUAAGAUUUUUUUUGGCAAAACUAAUUUACGCUUUUGGGGUCGAGAGUAAAGGACGGUUAUUAUGCAAAGGAUUCAAUAAAAGGUGUAUUUAUGGCCAAAGAGAAAGUCAAAAUGCAACAUGAGUACAAGAACGAAAAAUCAAGAGAGAGAGGAAACAAGAAUAAUGUAAAAAAUGGAAAUAAAGGAAAAUUUACGUCAUGUUCACAUUGCAAAAAAAGGAAAAACAUCUGGAGAAAUAUUGCUACUAAAAACUAGACAUAUAAUGCAAGUCUUGCAAACAACUAGGCCACAUGGAGAAAGUUUGGAAGAAAAACCAACAACAAGAUCAACAAGCUAAAGGAUCAAAUGUCCUACAACAAUAGGAUGAUGAAGUUUUGUUUCUUCUUGCUAUGCAAUAAUGGCUCAUUGAUAAUAAAAGCAUUCAUUAUAUGACAUCAAAUAUCUACUUAUUCGAGGAGUUGGACAAAACUUGUUCCAAAGCCAAAAUUGGUAAUGAUAAGUUCAUAUAAGUUAAAAGAGAUGAGCUAUGAUAGUCAAGACACCCUAAGGUAAAACACCAAUUAAGAUGUUUUAUUUGAAUAAAUAGAUAAAAAUGUCCUCAAUGUAGGACAAAUACUAGAAAAGAAUUAAUUUUUGGUGUUUAAGAUAAAACAUGCAUAAUUUAUUAUCCAUCAGGCGAUGAACUCUUAACUGUUAGUGUAACAGCCUAAUUUUCAGUGGUAUCGGAACAGUGAUUCGAGAUCACUAAAUCUGACAAAUGAGUAUGAAAUAUUAUUAAUUUAGUAAGUAUAAGUUAAAUGUGAAGCUAGGAAAAAUUUUGAAACAGUGAAUAGUGUACUAAAAAUAAAUAUUAAAAUAAUUAGAAUAAAAAACAAGGUAUCGAGACCUCGGGAAUUUUAAAUCGAGCCAUAAAUAUUUUUAUAAAUAUUUAUAGAGUGUUAAUAAGUUAGUAUUAAAGUUUCGUCAAGAAAUUUUAAAGUUCUGAUAGUUAAUUGAACAAAAAGGACUAAAUUGUAUCAAAUGCAAAAUUGUGAGAAAUGAUUAAAUAGCUUAAAUGAUAAAAGAAAGAGGGUUUAAAAGACAAAUAGACCCAAUAUAUCUUUGGGCUGAACGGCAAGGGCAUGAAAUCAGCAAGAAAAUAAGGAGAAUUAAGGGAAAAAUUGGAAAAUUGCAAAAUUUACUUAAUAAAGCUAGGACUAAAGUGGAAUUAUCUAGAUUUCUCUUUAUUUUUCUGCAUUCUCAUCGGCAAAAACACCAUGAAAGAGUUCUCUCAAGCUGGUUUUUCAUAUUUUUACUGCAAGUAAGUUCAAUUCUUGAUUAUUUCUUGAAAUUUUUAUGUUUUCGUGACUUUUACAACUAGGUCCACUUGUUGAAUUCAUUAGUUUUUUUAUUCUAUGAAAGAAAUUGAAAGUUUCUAUGAAUAUGUAAUGGAAGUAUAUGAUGAUUUGGCAUGGAAUUAGAGCUUUAAAUUGUUUAUAUGCUGAUUUUAUUGAAAGAAUUGAAUAGAAAGUGAAUGUUUGAGACCUAAUUGUAAAAGAGUUUGAAGUUAGAGUUUUAUGUAAAAAAUUCUGAAUUUAAAUAGUUAUGAAAUAACUUAUAAUGUCUAGGAAAAGUAUUAAUUGAGAAAAUUAUCUUAAUUUAGGGGUUAAUUGAGCAAGGACUGAAUUGUAUGAAUUGUGAAAUUUGGGGCAAAAUGGAAAUCAACAUUUUGCACUAAAACUGUUUUGGACAGCAACAGUGGUCUAACUUUGAAAAAUCACCAAAAAUUGUAGAAAUGGAAUUAGAGGAUGAAUAAAAUAUGAAAUUAAAGCUUAUUGAGUCUAGUUUCUUAUAAAAGAAAAGAUGUAAGAAAUGGAAUUGUAAAUCAUGAGAUAUGAUAAAUUUUUUGAGGUAAGAUCAGAAUGAUUUCGGGUUCCCCUGUUUUGACUUUGUAAAAUAAUAAAAAAUUGGAUAAAAAUAAUUAGGGGAUUAUACUUAUAUUUUUAGAAUCCUGAAUGAGUCUCUUUGCAAGAGAAUCAAACGGUAACAUCAUUCAAAUUCUGUACGAGGAGAUAAUUAAUUUUUAGUCAAGAAGGGUCGGAACUGUCAGAUAGCAGAACUGGGGAGAUUUCAAUGAAUAAACUGUAUUAAUUGGCCCAGCCAAAAAUUAUGAAAUCUUUAUGGUAAUAAGAUAUGUGAGUCUAGUUUCAGGGAAAAUUAGCGGAUCUUAAUUUGGAGUUCCGUAUCUUCAGAUAUAAAUAAUUCAGUGACUAUGACACGGGUGGAUAGCUUGAAUAUUCACAUAAGUAAUUAGUGAAAAUUAUGGAUAAGGUUACUUACAAGUGUGUUAUUUAUACCAAGGAUGUGGAUGGAGAGGAUGAGGAGGAAAAAUAUAUGAAUGACUCAUGUAUAAAUUGAUCACAUGCCCGAUUAUAAUCGAUAAGUGUUGGAUUAGAAAUGAUAUAAUGUUUUAUUUGGAAUAUUUAUUAUGAAAUUAUGAUUAUCGUUAUAAUACAAAAAUUGAACUUGUGAGUUUAUGUGGCUAAAUUUUAGUGAUUAUUUGUUAAUUUUAUGAAUUUCAUGAUGUGUUACUUCAUAUGUAUCGAUGAUAAAAUCGUGAAUAAUGUAUGAGCAUGAAAAUUGAAUAAAUGGUCAAAUUGAGCAUUUCAGUUCAGUGACAAGAUGAAUUGAAGGAAAAGACCAUAGUUGGACCAUGGCAACAAGUGAUAAGUGAUAGCUUCGACUUAUCUGAUCAAGGACAAAUGAAAGUGAUAAGUGAUAGCUUCGGCUACACUUAUCUGAUCAAGGACAAAUGAAAGUGAUAAGUGAUAGCUUCGGCUAUACUUAUCUGAUCAAGGACAAAUGACAAGUGAAAAGUGAUAGCUUCUGCUACCUGAUCAGUGAAAAGUGGUAGCUUCGAUUACCUGAUCAGUGAAAAGUGGUAGCUUUUGUUACCUGAUCAGUGAAAAGUGGUAGCUCCGGCUACCUAAUCAGUGAAAAGUAGUAGCUUCGACUACCUGAUCAGUGAAAAGUGGUAGCUCCGGCUACCUAAUCAGUGAAAAUUGGUAGCUCCGGCUACCUGAUCAGUGAAUUGUGGUAGCUUCGGCUACAAGUGACAAGUGAUUUCCGUAUAAGAUCAUAUCUGGGCUAUGGCAUCGAUAUAUGAAUAUGUGUAAGACCAUAGCUGGGCUAUGGCAUCAUUAUGUGAAGAUGUGUAAGACCAUAAUUGAACUAUGACAUCGAUAAAACGAAGUACUCAAUUCCGUAAGACGUUCACUAAUUUGACAAAGUUUGGUAAGUGUUACAUGGAAUUAUGUGAUACAAGGAAGUACGAGUUGAUAAUAUAUGAGUGUAGAACUUGGUUAAUAAAUGAAUUCAUUUGUGAUUAUAUAAUUAUUCAUCUUAAACGUACUAUCCAUAUGUAUUGAUAAUUCAAAUGUUUUAAUGAAUAAAGUUCCGACAUGAAAUAAAUUGAACACGAGACUAAUAAUUAUGAAAUUGAACUCGAAAUUCAUGAAAAUGACAGUUAUUGAUAUAUGGAUAUAUGAAUAUGGAAAAUGUUUGAUAAAUGUGUUUAUUCAUAAUUAUGGAAUUAUAUACCUCAUGUGUACUAUUUGCAUAAAGAUGAUAUUUCAUAUACUUUGGUUAUUUAAGCUCAAAUAUGAAAUAGUAUGAAAUCAAGAUAAGUUGUUAUGAAAACAUAUUUAGAUUACAGAGAUAUUGCUGAUAUAUGUUGUAUAAUUACAUAACGUGAAAUUGUGUAUAUAUAUGAGAAAUUUAUUGAGAAUUGAGGCCAUACACAUUUCUUGUUAUUUAUAUGAAGUGUACGACUGUCAAGGGUGAUGAAGUUAUAAAUAGAGAGUUACACGGGUUGAAAACACGGGUGUGUGACUCUCCAAAGUGUGAAAAUUUUCUAAGUGUUGCAAAAGUUUCAUAUGUUUACGGUUUGGUCCCGAACCACCCUGAAUGUAUGUUUUGGGCCCCGUAGGCCCAUAUAAGGGACGUUAAACAUAUGUAUGAAAGUUUUUAAUUUAGAAGAAAUUUUAUGGCUGAUUUUUACAUGAUUGAUCAUAUUAAGUUCGGUAAUGCCUCGUACCCUAUUCUAAGCUCGAAAUACGGGUAGGGGGUGUUACAGUUGGCAUGAAAGACAAAUGUUUCUCCUUAAACUUUGAUUAAUCUAGUUCAUCAACUUAUACCGAUUCAAUUAAUGAAUUUGAAUUGUGGCAUAAAAGGAUGGGUUACUUUUAUAACAUCCUCAAAUUUUUUAUGUCAAAAUUUGUGUCAUCUCGGUGGUAGAGCUAAUUAAAAAUUUGUAAUUAUAUUAGACUUCAAGAAAGACUCUAAAGACUAACUUGUAAUUAUUUUAAUGUGACACUAAAGAGUGGUAGCAAUGUAAUUAUGUUAGACUUAAUAAAGGCUCUAAGGACUAACUUGUACGAGAAAGUAAAGUAACAUGCCAAAUCUAGAAUGAAUAAGUGGAGAGCUUGGAGAUUUCUUGGACUUAAGUGGCUAGUUGGCAUAGCCUUAAUAAGGAAUUAAACCAAGAUUUGAGUGUAAUUAUACAACUUUGUUAAGUAAGUGAAGAGCUUUAAUACUUUCCGUGAAUUUCCACUAGCUAUUUUAAGGUGUAACUUUGUUCUCAAUUUGGCUCUCUCUCUCUAGCAAAAACUACAUUAUUGAUGCGGUCGUUGAGAGCACCAAAAAUAUCCUAUUCUCUGUAAAAUAACGAAAAAUAAUACUAAAUGUGGAAGUAGGGUCGAAUCCUCAGGAACCGGAUUAUACGGAUACUUAUUUCUCGAAAUCCUGGGCAGAAUCGUGCCCAAGAAAGCUUGCGUUCCUGAAAAAAAUAAAAAACAGAAUUAAAAGUUUUGAUUUGGAAACGAAAAUAAAAUAAAAACAGAAUUUAAAGUUGACUGAAGUUGUGAUUACGAAAAUAAUAAAAAUAAUGAAGAGAGUUAAAGGAAAAGAAAUUCUUAUUGGAAGAUUUCUGCCUCCAGUUGUCUCAUUCCGCCUUGGGUUCAAUUCUCGGCUUUUGGAUGACCCUUCUCGAAUCAAGUAAGCCAGUUAUGGUGGAAAAGGACGCCUACGACCACCAGCUUCAAAGAUUAGACUUAUGAUUUUUAGGGAACCUGACUCUAGCCAGAAAUCUAUGCUAGAUCAACGCUUCUCAAUGGCGAAUCCCACGCCAUUUUGUCUCUUUGGCUCGCCAAUCUCUGACGCAGUAAGUUAACAAACCGACUGUGUAACCCUUCCAAAACACACAAUGCGGCUGCCUUUACAUAUGCUGAAAAGCUUACUUCUUAAGGGCCUUGGACGGAAGCGUCAGCCCGUAGUGCAGAGAAACGAUAAAUACUUGGCGAGAAGGCUAAGUACAUAUUCUAAGCCUAAAGAAUCCUUUUUGGGGAAUGUCAACAACUUUCGGCUAGAUGGGUUUUAGUGGCUCACGAUAGUGGUGGAAAAGAAAAGAAAUAUAAAGAUGGAAAAGGAAUUUUUAUUAAAGGAAAAUAUGGAAAGAAACAAAAGCCUAGAGGAGGAGAGUGUUUACAUAAAAAGAUGAACAACCAAAUAGAGUCAUUUCACCCCCUAUUUAUAGUACUAGGAAGAUAGUCUAAUUUGACUUAAAUUCUAAAAAGAUAAAUAUAUUUAAUUAAAGAUAAUUAAAAUAAAAUCCUAAAAUUAAAUAAUCCUAAUAAUUAUCUUAAUAUUAAUUAUCCUAAUAUAAAAAUAGAGUCUUAUAAAAUAAAAUCUCUUCUUUUUGCAUUUUCAGUCCUUGUGUCUUCUAUGCUUGCACUUUUGGCACAAUCUUUUUCCUCUGUCGCAUAUCAGCCCAUUUUUUCUCCAAAUUCGUAUUUUUGCCCAUUAAUUUUACUUUUGCCUCCAAAUCAGUCUCUAAAAGAUAAAAUAUUAUAUAUAGCAUAAAUUAGCAGGAUCAUACUCAGAAUAAUCACAUAAUUAAUAAAAUAAAAUACGUUAUUCUGGAGUAUUAUCAAAUUACCCCUACUUAGCCCAUGCUUGCCCUCAAGCAUGGUUCCUAUCCACUAUGAAAGUUAGAUUCUGCUAUAAAAGAAAUACCACUCUAAAGUUUCAUAAGAAUUAGUUAGAAAUGCAUAUGAAAAAUAAAGAGAACCCUAAGCUUGCUUUAAGUAAAACAAAAAAAGUUUUCCAAUUAAUACACAUAGAAAUUAAAAUCGAUUUGAAUUAUUUCAUGGAAAUUAGGUAAAUUACUAAACUUACCAAGACACCCUCUUUGUUUCUUCCUUUAACCCCAAAUUUUAUUUAUUUACAUAUUUUUUUUUGCUUUUUCAUUUUCUUUCUUUUUUUUAUUUACUUAUUUAUUUAUGUAUGUUUGUAUGUUGAACUUUUGACGCGAAGAGUGAUAACAGCCAAGCACCAAACCUCGGUUACUCAGCCCAACAUACUUUUUAUUUUUUAUUUUUCCUAAAAUCAUGUGGAACCUUUUGACGCGAAGAGUGAUGACAACCAAGCACCCCACCCCGAUUACUCAGCCCAACACAUUCUAAAGAAUUAAUUCCGGUUAGCAGAGUUUUAACUAUCAUGUCACACAAUCUUUUGACGAGAAGUAGAAUGACAACCCAAGCACCCUACCCCGGUUACUCAGUCAGUCACAUUCUAAGCUGUACUCAUAACCACGAAAAAAUUAUUAACAAUUAAAAGAAAUUUAAGUGUCAAGAGCAAGUUUCAAUAAUCACCUAAUAGCCAUGAACAUAAAUUAAGCAUGCAAUCAUUUUAAAUGUUCACUUUAUAUUAAACUUGAUUAAUUUUACGAAAAGCAAGACAGAGUUAACUCUAUUAAUCACAAUUAUUUUUAGCCUAAUAAAAAUGAAACUGUGGAGAUGACAUCAAUUAUGAAAAAAAUCAUAACUUCCUCAGAAGGCAAGAAUCAUGCUUGUGGGGCAAACAGUAAGCAAUUCCUGGUCAAAAUCUUGGGCUUGAAAAGAGACAGCAUCUUCUUAAAAAAAAUAUGGACAAAAUAGGGUCUCAUCAAACAGUAACAAAAACACAGCAGCAACAUCGACCAAAAUCACAGUAGAAAAUGACAGUAAUAAUUAAGAGUUCCUUCCCCCUACUUAAAACACAUUGUCCUCAAUGUUGACAAAAAGAAAUAAAUAGGUAGAAAGGUUUAGUAAUACUCCCCACGUAGUUUACCGUCGAUCACGCUUGAUGGCAAGGAGUUCGGUGAGUUGCUGGCCAAAUGUAUCAAGUCGAGCCUCAAUGCGCUCUAAGCGUUGCUCAACGGUCAAUGUUGGUUGAGCUUGGGCGGGUGCUUUAUUAUGAGUUUGUUGGCGAAAGACUCGCUCGGAUUGUGAAGAACGAAUACGGGGAGGUACAAAACUGAAUAUGAUGGAGUGCCACGAAGUAAUCCCAUUGAGUCGAGGCAUCGAGCAUCCAAAGGACUAAUGUUUGACUUCCAGGAAAAUGCAGGAUGAACAGAAUUUGCCAACUCACAGGUGAAUCAGGAAUUAUUUAAAAAGAAAAAGGACUAAUGUUAAGUUUGAUACAAAUUUCCCUCGAUUUUCCUCGAUCAGAAACCAAACAGAAUAAAAAGAGAUGAAGAAAAAACAAGAUUUUUUUAAAGAAUCAAAAUUUAUACCUUAAAAGAAACACUAGCACUACCUUGACUCACUCAUUCGGAAGAAGCUACCACUGAUUCAUGAAUUCAAACCUUUUCUUUUCCUUUUUCGAGAGAGAGAAAGAAGCUAAUGACAAUGGAUCUUGAUUGUAAAAUAAAAUAUUUAGAGGGGUAGAGAAAUGUAGUUCCCUUUUCAUGAAUGUCAAGACAAUGAGAGAACAGUGCAAGAUAUAACAAACCUGGUUGGCGUAACUGAUACCCAUGUUUGCCCAAGCACGCACAUAGUUUGGCUUCAAAUAUAGUGCCU
rnacentral:lncRNA from 1 species